rnacentral:lncRNA from 1 species
AUCUAGAAUAUCCAUAUUAUAAUAAUUAUUUCCUUUCUUUACUUUUUCUUUUAUUCAACAUUUUUUGUGUGUCUAUAUAUAUAUAUAUAUAUAUAUAUAUAUAUGUAUAUAAUCUAGAAUAUCCAUAUUAUAAUAAUUAUUUCUGCUGACAUUCUUUUCUUUACUUUUUUUUUUCUUAUCUAACAUUUUUUUUAUUUUUUCGUUUUCUUGUUUUUCUAACUUCACAUACACACAGACAGUUGUUACGACAUUACUCACACAAUACCAUUAGGAAUGGCAACGGGGCGGGUUCGGGACGGGUCACCCCCAUCCUAACCCCGUCCCACCCUGUUUAGCUUUUUUUUUAUUUUUUAUUUUUAAAAUACUUUUAAAAUUUUUAAUUACAUUAAAAUAAAUAUAUUUUAUAAAUAAUAAAAUUAUUCUAUUUUUUAUAACUUAUUUUAUUAAAUUUUUUUUAUUAUCUAUAUAUUAAAAAUAGUAAAAUAAAAUUUUAAAUUAAAUUAAUUUUAAAAUUUAAAUUAAAUUAAAUUUUAAAAUUAAUUUUAUAUAUAAUCGGGGCGGAAUGGGGCAAUACCCGAACCCGACCCGAGUUUAAAAAAAAAUCUUAUACUCGUCCCAAACCCGUUUAUUAAAUUUAAACCCCGUCCCAUUAGGGACAGGGCGGGGUGGGGUGGGUACCCAAAAAAACUCGCCCCGUUACCAUCCCUAGGCAAUGACAAACAUACACUAUUGGUUGAUAGGUCCUCUAUCAGGGUUGGGCGUGAGCAGAUCAUAGGUUACAUAUUUUUGAAAAUGCUUUAUUGACUAUGUUCUUGAAGGCUUGUAAUAAACUAAAGACAAAUAAAUAUCAACACUGUCAGUAUAGUGCAUUACUUCCAUUAAAGCUAAAAAUUAUGUUUUAAUUUGGCUUUUCAAAUUAUUUUGUAACAACUUGAAACACAGUUGGUAACAAGGCAUUUUGAAAAGAAGAGAAUAUAUUAUGAUUUAGUAAUACUCCCAGAAUCUAGUGACAAAGUAAUAAACCCCAACUAAUAUUAAAAGGUGAAGGAUCGUAUAAAUUACAUUUCUUCCAAGGACCCACUACUUCUAUCUUCUUUCACUUCACUGGCAGAAUCUCUACUUAUUCCCCAACAAAGUGUGGUGGCCUUAGGAUUAAUUUAUUUUUCCAUCAUCCAAAAUGGGGUUCUCUUGUAAAGCUAAAGAAUCAAAUUUUGUUUGGAGAAUAAUGUCCCUUUUCUCCUAUGUGUAUUUUAACCAAACAAAACUAUGAUAUAAUGGAAAAAUAAAUAAAUAAAUAUUAAUUUUUUCCACUUUUUUUCUUUAUAAUCAUAAAUUUAAAAUAAAAUGAGUAUUGAGAUUAUCAUAAAAUUAUCUCAUUAAUUUUCUUUUCAGACACUACUACAAAUAUAUUAAUAAAGUAUUAAAUUCUGAUUCUAUAUAUAUAUAUAUUUCCAAUUUCCUUUCACAAAAAAUUUAGUAAAUAUCUCACCUUACAAGAUUGAGAACCAUAUUUUAAAUUUGAAUUAGUGGAAAAAUAGUAGGAACCCACUGGACACGCUUGGUCUAUAAAUAUUGGACUAUAUGUAGAUGUGUCUACCAAAAAAAAUAUAUUAGAAAAUGAAGAUACUUCAAGUUCAAGGUGAAGAGUACUUUUAUAAUAACAUCUUCAGCUUUGUCGGCUGAGAAUUGUGAUUUGUAUCCCGAGCGGCGUGAACAGUAACCAGCCCAAUCUCCAUGGAUGGAAAAGACCAGAAACCAAGUCUGGAAUCACCAUUGAUUUCUCAAGAAGCUGUGUCUGUAUCCAGAAAUGGAGCAAAAAGAGAGGAGAUAUUGGGUGAAGUGAAGAAACAAUUGAAGCUGGCGGGGCCUUUGGUGUCAGUCAAUCUCCUACUAUAUAGCUUACAGGUGAUUUCAGUAAUGUUUGUGGGUCAUCUGGGAGAGCUAGCUCUCUCUGGUGCUUGCAUGGCCACUUCCUUUGCUUCAGUCACUGGCUUCAGCUUGAUGGUAAGUAACAUGGGUUCUUCCUUUUUUAUUCAUUUUCUCACACAUUACCCACAUUUGAUUUAGCUCCUUUUGGGUUGUACCCUUUCAAAUAUAUGUUCUAUCUCUUAUUUGUUAUACUGAGUUCUUCAUUGGAUUGAUGACAUAGAUCAGAAAAUAUUUAUCUAAAUUUAGAGGUUACUAUAAUAUUCUAGAAUUCAUCCUACCUUUGUUUCCACAGCUUGUUUCCAGUUUCCUUUCUGGACCGAAAAUUUGUCUCAUUUGUCCAUUCUUAUCUCAUACAAUGACAGCAGUGUCCCUUCAACCUUCUUGAUUCAAGGCUCUUGGCUCUUGACCCACUCUAGGCCCACUCUACAUUGGACAAUGCAGUGAUGGUACUGUGUGAAUAAUGUCGUAACAACGGUCUGUGUGUUUGUGAACUUACAAAAACAAGAAAACGAAAAAAAAAAACAAAAAGUGGAUAUGCCUAUGGGUAUAGUUUAUUGCCCGGAUAUAGUCAUUAUUAUUAUUAUUAAUAUUAUUAUUAUUAUUGAUGUUAUUAUUAUUAUUAUUAUUAUUAUUUUUAUAUUUAUUGUUGUUGUCAUUGUUGUUAUUAUUGUUAUUGUGUUAUUAUUAUAUAAAAAAUUGAUCAGCUAAGCAUUAGAAAACAAGAUUUAGAUAAGAAAAAAAUGAGAAUAUAAUUGUAAAGGUAUCAAAAUAUGGUCUCAUAUGGUCUUAGUGAACCAUUUUCAUGACUUGCUACUUUUUCAUUAGUUGCUAUUUUUCAACAUGACCGAGAAGUUAUAGGGUGCCCUAGAAAGAAAAUUCCAAUUAAGAAAUAUGUUUCUCCAAGAUCAUUAGAUUAAUGAAUAAUUACUAGUCUGAAGAAUAGUAAAUGGCCUAAUCCAUGAGCACCUUAUCCUUGCUUGGAGUUCUUUGGAGUUCUAGUCUUAAUCAAUAGAGCAAUCUUGUCUACCUUUUUGGCAUGGCGGUAGGUGUAUAUUUAGUUAAAAAUUUCGUCUCCAACAUCAUUAAAUUAAAAUUAGGGUAUAGUACUUGAUGAAUAACUACUAGUUUUAAGAAUAGUGUACUUGUGCUUUGUAAGUAAAUUUGUCCAUUUGUUUCGAUUGAGUUGUUACUUAUUUUACAUAGAUUCUGCUUAUUUUUUUCCAUGUAUGAAAAUUUUGAGAAAGAUUUCAUGUGUUAAUUAUUUAGUAUGCAUUAUCAAUGUCCCAACACUCUAAGAUAUUUCCAACCAAGAUUUUAAAAUGAGUUUCAUCCACCUUUUUUCCUUCAUCUUCUUUCUUCAACUUUUCAUUUACCGCUAAAGGAGCAUUUAAAGGUUCAUAACCAACCACACAAAAUUCGUUUAGGACAUUCAACAUACCUCUUUUAGCAAAUAAAUGCAUGAUCUUCUUCUUGAUGGAAUUCAAUUCAAAAUAAUGCAGCAAUCUCGUCACUCAUUUCGGCUUUUUUUUUCCAUCAUUUUUUUUUCAAUCAUUUUUUCAUCAUUUCCAAUAAAAAAUUAAAUCAUCAACAUAAAGAACAACAAUAAGGAUCUUAAAGCUACCUUUGGCUUUGAAAUGUAGAGUAGCUAGACGCAUUCUUGCUUAUGUUAAAGUCAUUUUUGAUGAAGUAGCUAUCAAUUUAAAUAUACCAAACAUGAAGUUUCAAAUCGUACAAAGCCUUUUUCAACCUAUAAACAUUGUUUCCUAGGCCAAUAACAACAAAGUCUUGAGAUUGUUUAGUACACAUUUUUCUAUUCAAAUCUCCAUUCAAAAAUGUCGAUUUUUUACAUCAAGUUGGUAUAGUAACCAACCUUUCUCAACAGCCACAACAAUGAUAGCUCUAAUAGUGUCAAGACGAGCAACAGGAGUAAAAGUCUUAUGGAAUUGUGAUCAACCUUGCAUCAAACAUUUAAAUCCCACUAUCAAAAUGGUGUUUCGCUCCUAUGGAUCCACUUUAAUUACCUCCUUGCCACUCUGUUUUAUAAACAAUUACCAACUUGCAUUUUUUUUAAUGACAUCAAUUUCUUGGCCCAUUGCUUUCCUCCGAUCUUCAUCUUUUUAUUGUCUUUUCAAAGCUUUGAGGUUGUAAUGCAAAAAUUGCAUAUCUUAUAAAUGUCACUCAAAUUCCUCAUUUUUCUUGGAGUUAAAGAUGGUGGUGAUGAGCAUGAAGUUGAAGAUUCAGUUGAGGAUGGUAAUGAAACCAAACUUAGGGAGUUUUGAGGUGAUUAAAUUGAGUUUUCACCAUUAUCAUUUUCAGUGGGGGCUUUGGUUGGACUUCAUAAAAGAAAUUUGUUUGUUUGUUUGUUUGUUUGUUUUUAACUUUGCUUUCUUCCCAAUUCCAUGUAGUUUUUUCAUAAAAAAUGAUAUCUUUAUUUAUCAUUAACUUAUUUGAUUUUAGGUUUUAUAGCUUAUAGCUUAUAGCCAUUUGAUUAUGAGUUUUAAUCCAUGGAACUACAAUUUUUGCUUGAUUCAUCCACAUUACCCCUCUUUUCCUUUGGUACUUGCGAAUAACAUAUUUAGCCAAACUCUCUCAAAUGUCUCAUGAAUGGUGUUCUUUCACCCCAUGUUUCAAUUGGAGUUAUGUUUAACAAUGCCUCUAUUGGGCAUCUAUUCAAUAAUUAUGCAGUAGUGUUACCGACUUUAUCUUGGAAGAUUUUAGGUAACUCUUUCUCAUGUAGCAUUGCUUUAGCUAUUUUCAUAAUAGUUUGACUUUUUUCUUUCACUACUUCAUUUUGUUGAGAAGUAUAAGUAAUAAUGAGUUGUCUCUCAAUCCCUUCAUCUUAACAAAACUUCUCAAAUUGGCAUGGAGCAUAUUUUUUUAUUUUGUUACUUCUCAAGGUCUUUACAUAACAACCACUUUGUUUUUCAACAAAACUCUUGAAAUUUUUUAAGGCAACUAACAUUUUAAAAUUUUACCUCUUAAAGAAUACCAAAUAAUUGUUUCAAAUGCCUCUUUUUCUCUCCAUGAAACAUCAGGGUGAAUGUGAUCAAAUGCCUCCUUUUCAUUCCAUGAAACUCCCUUGGGAAAUACUUGUUUAUGAUAUUUUCCAAGAACACAACUUUUACAUACUUCAUUCUUUUUUUCAAUGGUGUUAGGUAGUUCUUAUACUAUCUUCUUUUAGCAGAGCAACUUCAAAUUUAUCUUGAAGUUCAAAGUGCUCAAACGUGCUAUGCAAAACCAUUCUUUUUUAACAUCUUAUACUUUGUAAGCCACAUUCUUAGCAUAUCUGAAGACAAUUGGAAUGUGAUUCAUGCCCAGUCGGUGUAUCAGCUGAUUUAUGUCGAGCUAGUGCUCCUUAGCUGAGGGAGUAAUCAACAAAAUUUAUAACCUACUACACCAUGAACUAGGGUAGCAAAGACAAAGCUACUAUAACAUAGUGGCUCUAGGAUCGUUCACUGGGAAGGGUUUUCAAUUCAUAAAUGAUACCAAUUCAAAGAUAAAUUGGUGCCUUUUCAUUUCAAGGUUAACUUAAGAAAGAAAACAUAAAAUAAGUUGAAAAAGGUUUUGUGUUAAGCUAACUAAAAAGAGAAUAAUGGAAAUUAUUUAUGAAGAAAAACAUUCCUUGGAGGUUUGGGUUUAUAGGGGAGAUUCCUUAUGCAAAAACAGAGCUCCGGUCAUUUGGUUCAUUUCCUCGCAUUAGAGAAUUAACAUAUAGUCAAUUCUCUAAUCGGUGUUGUACAGAUGCUUCCCCUUAAUGGGUUCAAACAUUAAAUCCCUCUCACUGAUGCACCUUGCAAUGGCUCAUGCCUCUCACUUAGCAUUUGCCAUUCAAGGUGAUCCUUAACCUUGGAUUAUCUGUCAAAAGCUUGCAAGAGAUAACUAAUGGAUGUCUCCUUGGAGUCCAAAAGCUUACCAAGUGUUGGCUAUUCUAGAAAAUCCUACCUUCAAAUCACCUCCCAAAAGCUCGCAAGAGGUAAACUAGUGCAUCUCCAUGAACGGAGAUCACUUGCUUCACCAAGUGUUGGCUCAAGUGAAUUGAAAGCAUUUUAAGUUAACUAAAAACAUAGAAAUCAUUAAAGGAUCUCACUUUCUUUUCAUUAAUGGCUGAAACCACAAAGCUAUAAAUUCUUGUAAUUGGAACCUUUCCCGGCAACCUUAACUCCAAGGAACUAAAAGUCUAGCCACUCAUUCUCUGAGGAAACUUCCUCAGAGCUUGUUUGGCUAGUAAGAAAACUAACAAGAAAACAAUUAUAUCUAGGAAAAACAGAGCAAGUGCUCUAUGAAUUCUAUAUCUUCUUCCUACUGAUUACAUCCUCUCGCUAAAGAAAAAUACAAAUUAUCUAUAUAUCAGGUUAUUCACCCUUUUCCUUGCUUAAAGACUAAGGAAUCCUAUGAUAGGUGGAUUACAAGGAGACUUUGGGGAUUUAGACAAUCAAUAUCUAAUGCAAAAUAUCUUAGGAUGUCGGUCGGAAAUAACAGGAAGCUUUAGGAGACCACCGUGGCACUGUAUACCGAGAGAAAAACUCUGCGAGUAAGUGUUAUCAGAGAGUCCGGAUAUGUCUAUCCGGAGAAGUUGAAGCGUCCUUCUCUCCCAUCCAACUGUGAGAAAUCCGGAUAUAAAAUGUCGGCGCACGGAAUUCCUCCCCCAGGUGAACUGAGCUAUGCUGCACCAGGGGGACCGUCUACGUGUGCAAGGUGUAGGGACCCCUCUUCCGGGUGACACGGAGUGCGCAAGGCUAUCCUGAUCAACUCCAUCCGGAUUCCCCAAGAGGACACGCGGCGCUCGUGAACAUCACACCCGGACGAUAGCAUCUCCUAUCCAGAUAUGUAGUCCGGAUUAUUGACUUAACAUGAGCAAGCCUUCCUAUCUAUUUCCAAAAAUCUGCAACAGCCCAUGUUCCGCCGCCCUCCGAUAGUGUGUCCAGACGCCCCUGUCCGGACAUCUUUGUAUUGGAUUCCAAAGAACUCUUCUCAAUCUCAGAUUUGCUUUGGUGAUCCAAAAGCUAUCAAAACACCAAAACUUAACACAAUUUGAUUAGAAUUGAUUGCAAGGGUCCUUAAUAUGUUAAUUGGGUUAAAAGUUGAUAACUACUACUCAAAAGUAUUUAAAAGAGUUUAUUACAAGCUAUCAAAUAGCACUUUUUGAGUAGUAAUCAGAAUGCAUUUUUUUUUCUUUCUAUUUCUAUCUUCUUCACUACACUUCUUCAUUGUCCCUUAUCAUAGAUGGUGCACACAUUGUCAUUGAAGUGAAGUUUGUACUCUUUACCACACAAAGAAAAUAUUGAUUUAAAGUUAAAACAAGCAGAAUAUCUCUAAUAUACUUGGUUCCUAUACUAGUUUGGAUACCAAUUAUGUCUUUUCCCUUUACAUGCACCAGAUUACCCUUUACCUAUUUUGACUUGUGAGUUAAUGGUUGUAUUCAUGUCAAGAAAAAUAUCUUUAUUACAAAACAUGUGGUUUGUGCAACCAAUGUCAACAAACCACAUAUUAUUCCUUUUCUCAAUAGUACUUAAACAAACAUAUUUUUUACCUUCUUUUUCUUCACAACUUGUUUUUUUAUCGUUCUAAGUCUACAAUUUUUUUUAACAAGCCUGAUUUUUUUUUUUUUUUAAUAUAACUAAAAAAUUAUGGCUUCCCUUUAAACCAACAAUCCUCUUCAACAUGAUUAUUUUUUUUUUCCAAAUAUUACAUUUUGGGAAUGCAUUAGUGAAUUUUCUUCCACUAUUGAAUCUUUCUCUACCUCUUCCAUUUCUUCCUCUACCAAUCUUGGAUUACAAAUAUUACAUUUUAGAAUGAAUUAGUGAAUUUUCUUUCACUGUUGAAUCUUUCUUUACCUCUUAUAUUUUUGUCUCUUUCUCUUUCUCAUUCAUUUCUACCAACUUUGGAUGAAUUGCUUUUAUUUUCAUUGCUUGUGAGUUUGUUUUCAACAUUUCUUAAGUUAAUGCUCAACUUGGACUAAAAUGCACUUCAAUUGAUUUUUCAUAAUGCCUCAAUAGUCCUUAUAAAUAAGUUUUCAAGGACCCAGACGGCUCAUGUAAGCUUAACAAAAAGAGGUCUUUUUAUUUCAACCAUAGCUAGAAUUUGGUCAAAUUUAUCAAGUAGGCUAAUUAAAAUUGUCUCAACAAGUCUUUUAUCACUAUUGUUUUUUCCACAAUAUGACUAAAUCUAAUUUACUAACUCCAUGAAUUUGUAAGAGAACUCAUUUAAAAUUUCAUUUUCCCUCGUGUUCAUAUUUUUAAGCUUUCUUCGUAAAGUUUGGAGCAUUACUGAUCAUGUUCUUCUAUUUCCUUGGAAGUCCUAUUGAUGGAUGUCUCAUGCUUUUUUAGCUUUGGAAGCUGUCAUAAUUCUUGGGAAAAUACUAUUAUCAACACCUUGUUGAAUAAAAAUAAAUAAAAAAUAAAAAAUAAAAAAGCAUUUGAAUCCAUUUUUCUCAACAAUUUUAACUGAUGAUCUUUUUCAAUUGGAGUCACUAUUAUUGCAUUUUUCAGGUUCACUCAAAGUUGUUUUCAACAAAAUGCCAAACAUCUUGAAACAUAAAUGAUAGUUUCAUGGUCACACACCAAAAAUCAUGGUUUUCCCCUUCAAAUAAUGGAAUAAAAGAAAAUUGAGAACUUAUACUUUAGUUACUUCUACUAGCCCCUGAUUUACUCUACAAAUCCUUGAUUUUUCUACUUCAAGGGUGAAGGUUCCUUGUUAUUUUUCCUUCUCAAAUAACAACCGAGUUGUUGAGCUCAUUAAUCAUAACUUUGAUUUUACACAAUCUUAUUGAACCACAACAAUACCGCCUUCCUCUCCUUCUCUUUCUUCUUGGGUUGAAGCAUUGAAAAACAAAAGGCAAUAGAGAGAGAACCACCUACUUAUACCUUAUUUCCUUAUACAAAAUCCUUUUAUAUUUACUACUUCUCUCCUCCACCAAACCCUAGCUUCAUUGCCAAGGAUUCCGGUCUUUAGGAAGAAAAGAAAACUUAGAAUUCCCCCUCUCUGAUAUAAUAUGUGUUUAUCAAGAUUCCAUAAAUAAGGAGCGUUCUACUAGAGACAAAAGACAAGAAGAAUGCUUGGAGAAAGAAGAGAAAGUAUGAGUUUGGGAGAAAACCUACAAAGACAAAGCUAUCCAACAACAAAACAAUUCGAAGAGUUAGAGUAAAAUAUGGAAAUGUAAAAUUGUUAGCUUAGAUUCAACUUUUGUUGUUUAUUAUUUCAACAAAAAACAUGGGAUAAAAAUUGAAAAUAAAAAGGAUAUUUAAAAACGCAAGACUCAACUUGAUCUUUUUUUUAUUUUAUAUAUGAAAUGAGACUAAAAGGUAUAAUAACUACAAAUACAUUGAAAAAUGAGCCACACUAAUCUUCAAAACUAAACUUUCUAACAUCUUUAAGAAAAUUUGACCACCAAAUAAUUAAUUCUAAAUUAUAAAUACUUUUCAUAACUAAGCAAUCUAUUAUUCUAUUUGCUUCCUUAUAAAUAUAAUGACAAUUAUAAAUAUAUAGAUCUUGAGAUAACUUCCAAAUAUCUUCUAUUAAUAACAUAAUAGAACUAGGAAUAUUACUCUUUUUAUAUGAGUGACACAUUAUGUAACAUUUUCUUUGUGAUGUUUUUAGCAUUAAUUUCACUUUUGUUUAAUAGGUAGGAAUGGGAAGUGCAUUAGACACCUUCUGCGGUCAGUCAUUUGGAGCAAAACAAUAUCAUAUGCUUGGUGUACACAAGCAAAGAGCCAUGGUUGUGCUUCUAUUGGUUAGCAUUCCUGUUGCUUUUAUUUGGAAUAAUACUGGCCAUAUUCUUGCAUCAUUGGGACAAGAUCCAGAAAUAUCAGUUGAAGCCGGACUUUAUGCUCACUUUAUGAUACCUAGCAUUUUCGCUAUUGCGCUCCUACAAUGUCAUAUUAGAUUCUUACAAGCUCAAAACAAUGUAGUUCCCAUGAUGAUAACCACAGGAUUCACAACUCUACUCCACACCCUCACUUGUUGGAUGUUGGUUUUCAAAUCAGGGUUGGGAAACAAAGGGGCUGCCCUUGCAAAUGCCAUCUCUUAUUGGAUUAAUGUCCUCUUGUUAGCAAUUUAUGUCAGGAUCUCCCCUUCCUGCAAGAAAACAUGGACGGGUUUUUCAAAGGAGGCAUUGCAUGAUGUGCUAAAGUUUCUCAAAUUAGCUAUUCCUUCAGCUAUAAUGCUAUGGUAAUAUCUUUGGGUGACCUUUCACUUCAAUAGUACAUUUUUUGUGUGUAUUAGAAAUAUUGGUAGAUAUCAUGUAGUUUUAUUUGUCUGGUGUCUUGGAACAGCUUGGAAAUCUGGUCAUUCGAAAUGAUGGUAUUGUUAUCUGGUCUGCUUCCUAAUCCAAAGCUAGAGACAUCAGUUCUAUCAAUCAGGUACCAUAUCCCAUGCUUAUGCACUUGAAAUAAACAUAAACCUUUAAUAACCUUUGAGAAUUCCUUAAAGAUUACUAAAACUAGUUACAUAUUACUAAUGGAUUAUGUGCAUUUCAUCACAGCCUUAACACAUAUACAGUACUUUAUAUGAUACCCCUUGGACUUAGUGGCGCAACAAGGUACUUUUUAGUCAUUAGUUUAAUGGUUGUAGCUCCUGAAAAUCAACAUGUCUCUUGAAUCAUUCUUCUUUCCAUUUUUCUUUUUAGUAUAAGAGUUUCAAACGAAUUAGGGGCUGGACGACCACAAGCAGCACUUUUAGCCGUGUAUGUUGCAUUAUUCAUGGUCGCCAUAGAAGGCAUUUUGGUAGCCACAGCCCUGAUCUUAGGACAUAGCUUCUGGGGCUAUUCUUACAGUAGUGAAGAAAAAGUAGUGAACUAUGUUGGAGAAAUGAUGUUCUUGCUUGCAGGAUCCCACUUUAUAGAUGGCAUUCAAUCAGUGCUUUCAGGUAUGUGCCAAUUUGCAAUAUGUACUUUUAAUCUUUAAUUUGAUUAUUCAUGACAACUGAAAUUUCUAUACUAAUUUGUUUAUACUAAACCUAUAUCCAUGAAAAGAUGAAAAUUAAUAAAAAAUAUAUACAGCCCAGUGUUAGAUAUAGAAAUUAUCUUCCUAAAGUAUAGUCCUAAGCUGCCUGCAUGAAAUAUGAUCUGAAUUCACAAAUAUAUAUUGGUAGUUCCCACUUUUUGGCUCUAAGCAUUUAUUUCUUACUAAAGUUGUUAUCAAUAAGUAAUGAUAGCACACUUACCCUAUCAUCUAAAGAAAGGUUAAUCAACACUUUAAUCAAUUGAGCGACUCUAAUAAUAUUUUCCAGGCGUGGUUAGAGGAAGUGGCAAGCAAAAGAUUGGGGCUUUGGUUAACCUAGGAGCCUAUUAUCUUGCUGGAAUUCCAUCUGGUGCAUUAUUAGCUUUCGUCUAUCAUAUUGGAGGAAAGGUAACUCUUACUCUAUAUUUAAUCUUUCUCCCCGCUUCACAUAUUUCGUUCUAGUUUAUAUGCUCCAAGAAAAAGAAAAAUUAACCCAUUUGUAUAUCUACUUGGUUCACAGGGACUCUGGACAGGAAUUAUAGUUUCACUCUUCAUGCAGGCAUUAUUUCUUGCAAUCAUAAUUCUUUGCACUAAUUGGGAGAAAGAAGUAUGGUUCUUUCAUCGAUGUUUGUGUAUGUAUGAGAAUUUUCUUGUUGAAUUCACUAAUGCUCUAUUUCAUCUCUUUCUUUUGUAGGCAAAGAAGGCUACGGAUAGAGUGUAUGACUCAAUGGUCCCUGUGAAUGCAAUAUCAUCGAGUUGACAUUGAAGUAAUAUUUCUUUCUAACUAGAUCUAUAAAAAUUAUGCUCAAUCUUGUUUGAUAAUUUAUAAUAAUAAAGGUAAUUUAUGACUAUAAAAUAAUUUGCUUUGAACAUGUAAGCCCUACCAAUUUGGAAUAGCUCAUGGUUGUUCUGUCUAGUGUUCUGGGAUUGUUCAUUUCCACUAAUGUAAUCUUAUAAGGUUAAUUUUGAUCAAGCAAUACAUUAAUACUUAAAACCAAGGGUGUAUUGUAGCCCUCAUACUACAAUAGGUAUAUUGAAAUGACCUCAUUUUUGCAUCUGUUGGUUCUCAUUACUAUCUGUAUGACUACAUUGUCUUGUACCAUACACCCAAUUUCCAUUAAUCCUAUCUAAACCUACUUGUUCAAAGCUUGGAACUAAGUGACUUAAACAUGUACACAAUCCGCUGGAGACAGCUAGAGUCCCAAGCCAUAGCAGAUCUCCCAGCUGAUUUCACUGUAGUAAUAGAAAGAACAUCCAGGGAUCGCAUACCUAUGGUGUUGAGGUGAAGGAUGGAGAGGCAAAGGCCAACGGACACUAUUGAUAGAUGGGUCCUCUAUCAGGGUUGGGGGUGAGUAGAUCAUAGGUUACUUAUUUCUGAAAAUGCUUUAUUGAAUAUGUUCUUGAAGGCUUGUAAUAAACUAAAGACAAAUAAAUAUCAACACUGUCAGUAUAGUGCAUUGCUUCCAUUAAAGCUAAAAAUUAUGUUUUAAUUUGGCUUUUCAAAUUAUUUUGUAACAACUUGAAACACAGUUGGUAACAAGGCAUUUUGAAAAGAAGAGAAUAUAUUAUGAUUUAGUAAUAGUCCAAGAAUCUAGUGACAAAGUGAUAAACCCCAACUAAUAUUAAAAGGUGAAGGAUCGUAUAUAUUACAUUUCUUACAAGGACCCACUAGUUCUAUCUUCUUUCACUUCACUGGUAGAAUCUCUACUUAUUCCCCAACAAAGUGUGGUGGUCUUAGAAUUAAUUUAUUUUUCCAUCAUCCAAAAUGGGGUUCUCUUGUAAAGCUAAAGAAUCAAAUUUUAUUUGGAGAAUAAUGUCCCUUUUCUCCUAUGUGUAUUUUAACCAAACAAAACUAUGAUAUAAUGGAAAAAUAAAUAAAUAAAUAUUAAUUUUUUCCACUUUUUUCUUUAUAAUCAUAAAUUUAAAAUAAAAUGAGUAUUGAGAUUAUCAUAAAAUUAUCUCAUUAAUUUUCUUUUCAGACACUAUUACAAAUAUAUUAAUAAAGUAUUAAAUUCUGAUUCUAUAUAUAUAUAUAUAUUUUCAAUUUCCUUUCAUAAAAAAAUUAGUAAAUAUCUCACCUUACAAGAUUGAGAACCAUAUUUUAAAUUUUAAUUAGUGGAAAAAUAGUAGGAACCCACUAAUAAUAUCUAUCCACAAAGCACCGGAAUAAAAAAUAAAACCUGUUAGGGGCCAUUUAUAAAUUAUAAUCCCAUGAAAGGUGCCCUUUCGCCCAUGGAAAAGGUAGAAGAAGGACCCUUUGUGCCGUUAAUUCAAUUACAUGGGCUCCCAAAGAAGCUAAAAAAGGGCUAAGGGUUCAGACAAGCAUCACAUCAAAUGAACAUCAUCAGUGGCAAAAGCUUGGUGUUUUCUUAAAUGGCCACCCUUUUUUAAUAUAUAUAUAUAUAUAUAACAUAAUUUAGAAUAAAUAAAUUCCUCAUUAGACAACAUUUUAGAGUGGCUGUGUGAAUGGAGUUGUUUCUUUCGAAACCUGAAUGUGGCCAGCUUAACAACAUUUGUAAUGAGACCCUUGGGUCCAUCUGGGUUAAGCCCAAAAAGUUUAGAGAAAUAGAGGCCCACGACCCAACCUUAGAGCUUGAUGAUUCAGUAUUCUUGAGAAUUUUGAUACAACAUAUUUGGUAGUUUUGGCAAUUAUUUUUAAAGUAAAGUAUUUUCUAGUUUUUAUUUCCAUAAUCAAAAUUGUUAGAAAGGGGGAAAAUAAUUUUCAAAAAAAUCAAUCUCCUUUUUUUUUUUUUUUUCAUUAGAAGUUCUUUUUUCUUUUUUUUUUUUUAUAAAAAAAAAAUAAAUAAAAUAUAAUUAUUUUUUGGGAAGGGUUAGAUCUUAGAACAAGUUUUUCCGUACUUCCCUUGCUUUUCUCCCUCAAGUUUCCCGAGAAACAAAAGCUUAUCGUCUUUCAAAGAAAAAUAUUAAAAACAAUCUCAAAAUCUUUAUCACAGAUCCAAGAAAACCGAAGCUGGGCAUGGUAGUCGUUAAGAUGCUUUAACAUUUCCAAAUUUUUCCUAGAAAGAGAGCCAAACAGAGGGAACCGCAAAGAAACAACCAAGUUCUUUCUACAUAUUAUCAGCUCUUGUAUUCCAAUCAUUCUUCACUGUACACCACAAGAGAACCUAUCAUCAACCGAGAACAAGAGAGACAGAGAAAAGAGUGAACACAGGUCCAACCACAACCUCUCAACAACUGCUUCCUCCUCUACUGCAGCUCUCGUCUAUCCCUGGGAAACGAAACCAAAAUCACUUCUAAACCAACCUCUUAUGAUAGAAAGCCUGCUAAAUAGUACUUUAAUCGCAUAGUAAUCAUAGAAGGACUUGAUGGUAGUCUUUUCAUACUCUUGUUUCCAUGACAAACAUGGCCUUUACUAUUCUUGGAAACAAUCCAGAGAGAUCAGGGAUUGAACAAUUUGGAAUGAUAAUACUUGGAGAUGGUGGAUUCUUUUGGGUUCUAUUCCUGAGAGUGGGCACAUUCCCAAGCAUGUAAAACAUUCCUUCUUUCUUUAUAUUCUAUGGUUGUUCCCCCUCAAUUUUCAUUUUUUUUGUUUAAGCCCAUGGUUCAUUGUUGGGCUUCUUUUUGUUAAAAUUAUUAUGCUUUCUUCAUCUUUUCUUUCUGAAGUUAUUAGCCUUCAUUUAUUUUGCUUUUGUUGAAAAGUUAGGAAUGGGAAGCGCAUUAGAUACCUUCUGCGGUCAGUCAUUUGGAGCAAAACAAUAUCAUAUGCUUGGUAUACAUAAGCAAAGAGCCAUGGUUGUGCUUCUAUUGGUUAGCAUUCCUGUUGCUUUUAUUUGGAGCAAUACAGGCUAUAUUCUUGCAUCAUUGGGACAAGAUCCAGAAAUAUCAGCUGAAGCCGGACUUUAUGCUCAUUUUAUGAUACCUAGCAUUUUCGGUUUUACACUUCUACAAUGUCAUAUUAGAUUCUUACAAGCUCAGAACAAUGUAGUUCCCAUGAUGAUUAUUAGAGAAUUCAUUACAAUAGAUUUUCUUUCUAUUUUUAAAUUCUUCUAAUUAGUUGUAAUUUCCUAUUUUUGUGUUUUGGGCUAAUUCUAGGAUUGUUUCCUAUUUUUGUGUUUUGGGUAGAUUAUUUUCUAUUUUUGUGUUUCAGGUUUGUGUAUAUAUAUUCAUUCUUAAUCAAUGAAAAAGUUAAGCCAUUGUUUCUCAAUAAUCCUCUCUCUACUUCAACAUGGUAUCAGAGCCUAAUCUUCUUGGGCGUAUUUUCUUUUUCUUUUUUUCCUUCUCCUCAAUGGCUUCACUCUCAAGAUCCUCACCAUCCCCUCCUUACAAUCAAUCUCUCCAAUAUCACCAAAUUGUCAUCCACCAAUUAUCUCACAUGGAGCCUUCAAAUUCAAUCUCUUCUUGAAGGUUAUGAUUUUCAUCACUUCAUUGAUGGCGCUCAUACUCCACCACCACCCACCAUCACCAUCACUGGUGUUGCAUCCCCAAAUCCAACAUACACAACCUGGAAGUGUCAGGAUCGUCUCAUCUUUAGCGCUCUCCUUGGUGCUAUCUCCGUUUCAGUACAACUACUUAUUGCCUGCACCACCACUUCCCUUGAUGCAUGGCAAACCUUAGCCAAUACUUAUGUCAAACCAUGUUGUGGUCAUAUUAAACAAUUGAAGGAACAAUUACAGCGAUGUACCAAGGGCUCUCUAACUUAUUGGACUUACGCCUUUGCCACUGCUGUAUAUCUCAUCAACCGUAUGCCCACACCCACACUACAUCUCUCAUCUCCUUUUGACAAACUCUUUCAGUCUCCACCCAACUACACUAAACUUCGGGUGUUUAGUUGCUUAUGUUAUCCAUGGUUUCGUCCUUAUUCUCAGCAUAAACUUGACUCUUGUUCCACUCCUUGUGUUUUUCUUGGUUACUCUUCAACACAAAGUGCCUAUAUUGUUCAUCUUGGUCGUCAUCCAAUUUCCUUAGCAGAUCAACUUGUCGACGCUCUUACUGAACCACUUCCACGAAGCCACUUCCAAGAAUUACAGGUCAAGAUUGGCGUCUCCUCUGGAGCUCCAUCUUGAGGGGGCAUAUUAGAGAAUUCAUUACAAUAGAUUUUCUUUCUAUUUUUAAAUUCUUUUAAUUAGUUGUAAUUUCCUAUUUUUGUGUUUUGGGCUAAUUCUAGGAUUGUUUCCUAUUUUUGUGUUUUGAGUAGAUUUUUUUCUAUUUUUGUGUUUUAGGUUUGUGUAUAUAUAUUCGUUCUUAAUCAAUGAAAAAGUUAAGCCAUUGUUUCUUAAUAAUCCUCUUUCUACUUCAACAAUGAUAACCACAGGAUUCACAACUCUACUCCAUAUCCUCACUUGUUGAAUACACUUCUUUAAAUCGGGGCUUCGAAACAAAGGGGCUGCACUUGCAAAUGCCAUAUUUUAUUGGAUCAAUGUCUUGUUGUUAGCGAUUUAUGUCAGGAUCUCCCCUUCUUGCAAGAAAACUUGGAUAGGUUUUUCAAGGGAAGCAAUGCAUGAUGUUCCAAAGUUUCUGAGACUAGCUAUUCCUUCGGCUGUGAUGAUAUGGUAUCUCCAGGUUCACUUCAACAAUAAAAUUGUUGUGUGUAUUUGAAAUGUUAUAUUAAAUAUUAUAUAUAUCUUGUAGUUUCAUUUGUCUAGUGUAUCUUGAAACAACUUGGAAAUCUGGUCAUUUGAAAUGAUGGUACCGUUAUUUGGUCUUCUUCCUAAUCCAAAGCUUGAGACAUCAGCUCUAUCAAUCAGGUACCAUAUCCUAUACCUGUACCCCUCAAAUAAGUUUAAAGCCUUAAUAACAUAUGAAAACUCCUUAAAGAUCAAUAAAAAAAAGUUACAUAUUACUAAUGGAUUAUAUAUUUUAAUGUUACAGCCUCAUAUGUUCAGUAAUUUACAUGAUACCCCUUGGAUUUAGUGGUGCAAUAAGGUAUGAUUUAUUUAGUAUAAUAAUUGCAGCUCCUGCAAAUGCAACAUGUUGCUUAAAUUAUUCUUCUUUUCAUUUUCCCCUUCAGUGUAAGAGUUUCCAACGAAUUAGGGGCUGGACGACCACAAUCAACACUUUUAGCAAUAUAGGUUGUGUUAUUCAUGGUCACUAUAGAAGACGUUUUGGUAGCCACAAUCCUGAUCUUAGGGCAUAAAUUUUGGGGCUAUUCUUAUAGUAAUGAAGAAAAAGUAGUGAAAUAUGUUGGAGAAAUUAUGGUGUUGCUUGCAAUAUCCCACUUUUGGGAUGGUAUUCAAUCAGUGCUUUCAGGUUUAUAACAAUUUGUAAUAUGUACUUACAAUCUAUCAAUUUGAUCAUUCAUGUGAUAACUGAAAUUUCUAUACUAAUUUGUUUAUGCUAAACCUAUAUUUAUGUGAAAAGAUGAAAAUUCAUCAUAUAUGUAUAGCUCAGUGUUAGAUAUGAAAAUUAUCUUUCUAAUGUAUAGUCUUACUGUCAGCCCCUUAGCCUCAUGACCCAAUGUUGAAGGAAGGGGCCUCAUGGGUAGGCCUUGCACCUAUGGGAGCCUAGACAAAGAGCAAUGAUAGCCUGGAGGUUUGGUGGUUUAAACCCCAGGAGUUAAAAUGAGGAGGUCAUAUGUGAGCUAGACAUGCACCACGACCGAGCUAGACACACACCACCCGUGUAUCGUAGGCGAGCCAGACACGCACUGCGUGCACACCAAACGAGCACCCCACGCGCGCCUGUCAUAUGUUGACUGUGGAGUUGGUGCAGAUGGAAUGUGAGGUUUAUUUUGGAAUAUAAUUUAUAAUUAUUUAAAUAUUCUAUUAUGUCUUCUCAAGCAUGUAUGAUGUCUCCUCCAGACAUCUUGAGAAUGACCCGUAUUGCUCUUUAAAGAGAAGGAUUGGGUGACUCAAGGGGACACCAAGGGAAGGCCUUGACCAAACCAAGGGGGCACCAUGGCAUGACCUUGGGCGUGUCUAGGACACACGAACAACACCCAAGCACGUACACAUAGGCUCCAUGACAUGUGUGGUGUACACACUGUGGCCGCAAUGGCACAGGGCCUGGUGUGACCUACCUUUUCCCUAUGCUGACACGAAGGCGCUUAAGCUUUAUGUAGCGAGCCAACUAGAGAAGCCAUGGGCGCAAUGCCAUGGUUCAAUGGGGCACUAGACAUGCAGUUGACUCGAGCUCAUGAGAACUAAUGAUUACUACUCAAAAACCACACAUUUUAAAGAAUAAUUCUCACGAGUUUUACAUCUUUUGAGUAGUAAUUAUGCCUAAAACACUCAAUUAACAUGUUUUUGCCCUUGUAAGAGUUACUAACAAGUUUUAUGAAGUUUUGGAGUCAUUUCAAGGUAUGAUUUUGAUAAAUUGGUGACAAAAGAGAUGAAUCAAAUUGAAGAAAACAAAUAAAGUUGAUGAUAAUCCAAAUGCACAAUGAAAGAAGUAAUGCAAUUGGUUUGGACCGGGAUUUGGAGUUGAUUUGAAGGUAGUUGGAGUGGAAUCAAGAGAAAGAAAUGGAGGAAAUGACAAAAAGGAGUUAAAAAAAACUAUGUUUUUCAAUUUCACGUGAACAUGUGAAAAAUUCGCACAAACGUGCGAAAUAGACUAGGAGGGGAUUUUGACUGCAGCUCAAAGGGGAGAAGUGAAAACUGAUUUCACAUGACCAUGUGAAAAUUUUGCACAGUCAUGUGAAAUGCUUUAGGAAGACGAAAAUGAUGUUGAUGAACUUUCCACUUCGCACAAUCGUGCGAAAUUGUUGGAGCUCGUGCGAAAUUGUAUUUUUUCUAGAUUUCUUAGUGAAAAAGCCUCUGAAAGACCUCUUAGAUGAUGCCAAGUGUCUACUUGACCUUGACCUAUAAAUAGAAACUUGAUUUACUCAUUUAAGGACUUUUUACAUUUUUCUAAUUGUAGAACUUUCCAGAUUUUCUCUCUCUAUGGAAUUCUCUACUUUCCUUCAUUUUAUCUCAUUUUCUCAUUAGUCAAACAUGCCUUAUGAGAUCAAAUCUCCAAGCAUGAGUGGCUAAAUCUCAUUUUUCUCGGAAGAGGAAGGAUCCAGAGGCAAGAUCUAUGGUGAAUUAGAAAAAUGAACUUGAAUUGCAAAGGUAAUUUGAUCCAAUUGAUUGAUUAAUUAAAAUUUGGGGAUUUUUCUCUUCAAAUUCUCUUGGAUGAUUACUACAAUGCAAGCUAGGUAGAUUCAUCAAAUUCUUAAUGCUAGAUUUGAUGAGAUUGAAUAGUUGCAUUGUGUGAAUCAUUGGAAGAUAAUUUAAGAUGGAUUGAAUAUAUGAUUUGAAUUGAUCUCUUGGAUAAGAUGACCUGAUUUGAAGAGAAAUUAGAUAUAAACUUAAAGCUAAAUAAAAAAUCGGUUUAGAUGAAAAUUUAGGUUUUCAAUCUAACUUGAUGAAAAUUAGAUCUCAACAUCUAUUCACCAUAGAAAUUGCUUUCUAGAAAAUCCUUACUUCGAGAAUUUCAUUUUCUAUUAAUUUUCUUAUAUUUUACAUUUCAUUUUCCUCUCAAUUUGGAAUCAUUGUCAUUUUGAAUUGUAAUCAUGAAUUGUCAAAUCAUUUUCACUUAAUCUCAAUCAUUUCUUCUCAUCUCAUUCAAGCCUUGAUUACCAAGAAUAAUCCAUAUUUGUGGACGAUACAUAAAACCCACUAUACUAUAGUAGUUUGUACUAAAACCACUUUUUGAUCGGGUACAAAUUGUUAUAGAAUAGUGAAUUAGGUUAUAAAUUUUGUUUCGAUCCAAUAAACGACGAAAAUCCGAGCGAUCAACUAUGCAUGGCAUAUGGGCGCAAUGCCUUGUGCACUAGGAAUAAACAGCCAUGAGCACAAUGCCAUGGCUUGUUGCUGUGGAGCUUGACCUGAUAGUGGGAGCUAGUCACAUACCUAAGCCAUGGGCACCUUAACAUGGCUUGGACUCAUACAUGAGUGUGGGGAAGGCACACUAAUGCACUAGACACCUGGUCAGCUAGUUGGUGCAUGCUACUGGUUUAGAUGACAACAAACUAGUGGCAACAAGUGAGUGAUUAGGACAGCAUUUAGCUACAAGGGACUGGCAGAUGGUUCUGGUGUUGAUGGCUGGUGCGAAGAGACACCUUGAGCUGAAGAAGUGUCUCCAGUUGGGAGGUUAUGCAAGCAGUUCCUCCAACUGGGUGGUUAUGCAAGCAGUUGUGGCAGUUGUGGUGAUUGUAGCAGUUGCAUAACCACCAGUAACCUCCCUAGUUUUGAAAUUCAAAUUGUAAACUGCAAGCUGAGUCUUUUAAAAAGGGCCUCCUGCAUUUCUUAGAUAGAGCAUGAGAGUAUGAGACUGCCUUUGAAUACUUAAGGGUUCUAAGCAUUGUACUCUGACUCAAGUCAAAUGUUGACACUUUGGGAAAACAAUUUUGUAUCUUGUAGAGUUGAAUAAUACAAGUUGGGAAGGGUGUUCUUGUAAUCAUGUGGUUGCCUAUUACUUUGUUUUUCUAAGGGUUGGGAAGAAAGGUUGGCUAAGGAAGGGUCCUUAGUACCACACACUCGAUGAAAAAAAAAAUUGGGUUGAUAUUCAAGGGUGUGACAAGUAGUAUCAAAGCCUGCACCAAAGAUGAUUGGUGGUAGUGCAAUGGAAGCCUUGUGGGAAAGGAUUGCUCGGAUGGAAGAAAUGUUAGGAGAAUGGCCAUGUGAGAAUGGCACCGUGGCUUCAUGGGAAAAACACAUUGUGGGAGAAAUUCAAGUGCAGAGGAGUUUGCUGGAGAUCUAUGAAAAAUUCUUUGAGGAUAAAUUUGUUGGCUUGAAAGUAGAAAUUCAGUCCCUGAUAGAUGACUUCAAGGGCUUCCUGCAGUCUUAUGGAGAAGAAAUUGCAGUCCUCAAGAAGGUUGUGUUGUAGGAAUGCUCCUCAGGCCUUAAAGCCCCUCCCAAAGUCCGGGUCCCAGAGCCUAAGGGCUCCAAUGGUAAUAGGAAUGUGAAGGAGUUUGAGAAUUUCUUAUGGGACAUGGAGCAGUUCUUUAGGGUUGCUCAUGUUCCUGAUGGCGAGAAAGUGUCCAUUACCAGUAUGUAUUUGACUAGUGAUGCCAAAUUGUGGUGGUGAACAAGAAUGGAGGAUGAUGCAAAGUCUAGAAGGCCCCAAAUCAUCACUUGGGAAACUCUGAAAAAGGAAUUAAAAAAUCAAUUCCUCCAUACCAACAUUGCUUGGGUGGCCAGGGAAUCAUUGAAAAUGCUUAGACACAUCGGAUUAGUGACGGACUAUGUCAAGGAAUUUAGUUCCUUGAUGUUGGACAUGAAGAACAUGUUAAAGAAGGACAAGCUUUUUAAUUUCAUGUUUGGACUGCAAUAGUGGGCUGAGAUGGAACUUAGGAGACAAGGGGUCCGUGAUCUCCCUACUACCAUGACUAUAGUAGAUUGCUUGGUGGAUUACAAGAUGGGUGGCGCCAUCUCCACCAUGCAGAAAACAAAGUCAGAAGGGAGUAAGAAGGCUAAGGCUAAGGGUAAGACUUCUGAGAAGGCGGGAUGGAAGAAAUAGAACAAGAAGGGUGCUGCAGGGGUAAAACUAGUGGAGAAUACCACAAAAUUUGUGCAAUAGUCCACCCGAAUGGUAGGGUGCUUCAUUUGCAAUAGCCCACACCUAGCCAGAGACUGCCCUAAAAGAGAAAAACUCUCGACCCUUGUGAAUGCAGACGACAAGGAAGAAUCUGACUCAGAGACCCUUCCUGUAGUUAACCCAUUGCAACUCCUAAAUGUAAUUCAUGGUGAGACCCUAGUCCAAAAGUCCCUAAUGCAUGUUCAUGUGGUUGUAAAUUGUGUGCAGGUGAAGACUUUGGUGGACAGUGGUGCCACUCAUAAUUUCGUGGCCACCAAAGAGGCAAACAAGUUGGGAUUGAAGUUAGAAAAUGAUACCAGUCGGAUCAAGGCAGCCAAUAGUAAAGCCCAGAAGAUCUAAGGGGUAGCCAAGAAUGUUCUCAUGCAAGUUGGUGACGGGAAAGGCACGUGUAGCCUACUUUGUGUGCCCUUGGAUGACUUCGAUUUGAUCCUUGGUGUAUACUUCCUCUUGAAGGCUAAGGUGGCCUUGAUCCUAUAUUUGGGUGGAUUGGUAGUGUUGGAAGAAAGACAACCCUGUUUCGUGCAGGCCUUGAGGGCAAAGGAUGGUGGUAAGGGUCAACAUAAGAUGUUUUCCGCUAUUCAGUUAAAGAAGGAAUUGAAGCAGGGCUAGGAUACUUAUGUUGCAGCCUUGAUCGAGAUUAAGGAAUGACAGUUUGUGGAAGUCCCUGAUUUAGUGGUCAAAAUUUUGAAAGAGUUUAGAGAUGUGAUGCCUGCACAACUCCCCAAGAAAUUGCCACCCCGACGACCUAUUGACCGUAAGAUUGAAUUGUUGCCUAGAACAAAGCCCCCAACUCAAGCCCCUUACAGGAUGUCUCCUGCAGAAUUGUUGGAGCUACGCAAAUAGUUGAGGUAAUUAUUGGAUACAGGCCUGAUCCAACCCUCAAGGGCUCCAUAUGGUGCACCAGUGUUGUUCCAAAAGAAGCAUGAUGCCUCUCUACGCAUGUGUGUGGAUUAUAGGGCUCUCAACAAGGUGACCAUAAAGAACAAAUACCCAAUCCCCUUGGUAGCAGAACUGUUUGACAGAUUGUUAAAGGCCUCUUAUUUCACCAAGUUGGACUUGAGAUCAGGCUAUUGGCAAGUGCGGAUUGUAGCAGGAGAUGAAGGGAAGACCACUUGUGUAACUCGGUAUGGUUCAUACGAGUUUCUAGUAAUGCCCUUUGGGCUAACUAAUGCCCCUUCUACUUUUUUCAAUUUAAUGAAUGAUGUCUUGUUUGAUUACUUGGAUGCAUUUGUGGUAGUAUAUCUAGAUGAUAUUGUGGUAUACAACCAAACUCUAACAGAACAUGAAAGACAUUUGAGAUUGGUGUUCCAACGACUGAGUGAGCACAGACUUUAUGUAAAGCCAGAGAAAUGUGAGUUUGCUUAGAAGGAUAUCACAUUUCUUGGACACAAGAUCAAUGUAGGCCUGAUCAAGAUGGAUGAAGGCAAGGUGCAAGUUAUUAAGAAGUGGCCAGUCCCUAGCAAAGUUACGGAGUUGCGGUCCUUCCUCGGCUUGGCCAACUACUACAGAAAGUUCAUUAAGGGGUAUUAAAAAAUGGUGUCUCCCCUUACUGACCUAUUGAAGAAGGACAACCAGUGAGACUGGAGCAUGCAGUGUCAGAUGGCUUUUGAAGGCUUGAAGGAAGCUAUCUCCACUAAGCCUGUGCUGCAUUUGCCAGACUUGAACUUACCCUUUGAAGUCCAGACGGAUGCCUCAGAUAGGGCUUUGGGUGGGGUCCUAGUGCAAGAAGGGCACCUUGUGGCGUUUGAAAGUAGGAAAUUGAAUAAUGCUAAGCAGAAAUACUCCACUCUUGAGAAAGAAAUGACAGUUGUGGUUCAUUGCUUGCAACAGUAGAGACAUUACUUGUUGGGGAGUAUAUUCAUAGUGAUUACUGAUAAUGUGGCCAACACCUUCUUCAAAACUCAAAAGAAGUUGAGUCUCAGACAGACCUAAUGGUAGGAGUUCAUGGUCGACUUCCAGUUUGAAUGGUUGCAUCGACCAGGAAGACAUAACAUAGGGGUUGAUGUCCUGAGUAGAAAAGAGGUGAUUACCUAUAUUUCGGCCUUCUCAUAAGUCAUCUCUAACUUUAAUGAGAGAAUCAAGCAGGCUGCAGAGCAUGAUGUUGCAUAUGGUAGGCUGAAACAAAAAGUUAAGGGGGGUAUGAUUAGGAGGUAUUGGCUAGAGGGAGACCUCCUUAUGAAAAAAGGAAAAAGAUGGUAUGUUCCUACAAGCGGCUUGAGAAGGGAACUGUUGCGGGAGACUCAUGAUGCAAAGUGGGCAAGCCAUUCCGGUGAAAAGAGAACCCUAGCAUUGCUGGCCAAAUCCUAUUAUUGGCCAAAGAUUGGUGAGGAUGUGCAGGCGUAUGUGAAAAUCCUGUCUGAUUUGUCAGAUGGACAAGACCGAAAGGAAAAAGGCUGCAGGGUUGCAGCAACCCCUCCCCUUUCUAGAAAAACCUUGGGAGAGCAUUCCAUGGAUUUUAUCACCGGAUUUCCAAAGGUUCAUGACUUCAAAUCUAUCUUUGUUAUUGUAGAUAGAUUUUCUAAGUAUUCUGUGUUUAUACCUGCUCCUAAUGCAUGCCCUACGGAGGAAGCGACUAGGCUAUUCUUCAACCAUGUUUUAAAACACUUUGGGUUGCCUCAAGACAGUGAGUGAUUGGGAUGCACGGUUCACAAGCCGAUUUUAGGUGGAAUUGUUCAAACUCUUGGGUUCAGGGUUGAAGUUUUCCACAACCAAUCUUCCUUAAAUUGAUGGGCAGACAAAGAGGAUCAAUGCCUUACUAGAGGAAUACCUCAAGCACUAUGUGACAGCACACACAAAAGAACUUGGUUGAUUUGCUGGACACUGCCCAAUUGUGUUAUAAUCUGUAGAGGAGCUCAGCAACAGGGAUGAGUCCCUUUGAACUGGCUAUCGGGGUGCAACCAAGGAUGCCUUUGGAAGUGGCUAAGCAAAAGACAUGAGGAAAUAGUCCUGCAGCAUAUAAGAUGGCUCGAUCCGAAUAGGAGAUGUUUGAUGAGGCCCGAGACAAUCUAGAGAAGGCAACCAGAUGGAUGAAGAAGUAUGCAGACCGUGAUCGACGACCCUUGGAAUUUCAGGUUGGGAACAAGGUCCUCCUGAAGUUGACUCCUCAUAUAUGGAAGAAAAUCAGUAGCAACACAAGGCAAAGGGGUCUAAUUCCCAAGUAUGAUGGAUUAUUUGAGGCAAUAAAACGAGUGGGAUAGGUGGCCUACAUGUUGAAGCUGCCUAAGAGACUCAAGCUUUACCCGACUUUCCAUGUCAGUUUUCUGAAGCCUUACCAUGAGGAUCUGGAUGAAAAGAAGGUGUAGACAAAGCGGGUUCCUCCAUUGGUCAUGAAGCAAUUUGACCAAAAGAUGGAGAAGAUCUUGGAUCAUAGGACCAUGGGACAUAGCAAAAAGAACCGACGAACUGAUUUCUUGGUUAAGUGAAAAGGGACUUCGGAAGUAGAAACUACAUGAAAAAAUGAUGUUACCUUGUGGCAGUUUGAAGUGGCGGUCCGGGCAUACUGGCAGACUAAGUCGACGAGGGCGUCAACUUCAGUAGGCGGGGGUGGGUUUGUCAACCCCUUAGCCUCAUGACCCAAUGUUGGAGGAAAGGACCUCAUGGGUAGGCCUUGCACCUAUGGGAGCCUAGAUGGAGAGCAAGGAUGGCUUGAGGGUUUGGUGGUUCAAACCCUAAGAGUUAAAAUGAGGAGGUCAUGUGUGAGCCAAACACGCACCAUGGGCGAGCUAGACAUGCAAGCACGCACACUGUGGGCGAGCCAGACACGCACCGCGGGCGAGCUAGACACGCACCACGAACAAGCUAAACAGGCACCACAUGCGCACCAUGGACGAGCCAGAUAGGCACCGCGUAUGCACCGCAUGCACACCAGAUGGGCAUCGCUUGCGCACGAGGCAUAUGUUGACUAUGGAGUUAGUGUAGAUGAAUGGUGAGGUUUAUUUUGGAAUAUAAUUUAUAAUUAUUUAAAUAUUCCAUUAUGUCUCCUCAAGCAUGUAUGAUGUCUCCUCUAAACAUCUUGAGAAUGGCUUAUAUUGCUCUUUAAGAAGGGGGAGGGGAGGGAGGGUAGGUGAUUCAAGGGGGCACCAUGGCAUGACACUCAAGCACGCACAUGUGGGCUCCACGACAUGUGUGGUGUGUACCCUAUGGCCAGAACGACACGGGGCCUGGUAUGGCCUACCUCCUCCCCACGUUGGCACGAGAAUGCUUAAGCCUUGUGCAGCGAGCCAGCUGGAGAAGCCAUGGGCGUAAUGUCGUGGUUCAAUGGGGCAUUAGACACAUAGCUAACUCGAGCUCAUGAGGACUAUGCAUAGCACAAGGGCACAAUGCCUUGUGCACCAAGAAUGAACAACCAUGGGCGCAAUGCCAUGGCUCGUUGCUGUGAAGCUUGACCUGACAGUGGGAGCUAGGCACAUGCCCAGGCCAUGGGCACCUUGACAUGGCAUGGGCUCACAUAUCAGUGUAGGGAAGGCACACUAAUGCACCAAACACCUGGUCAACUGAUUAGUGCAUGCUGCUGGUUUAGAUGGCAGCUAGCUAGUGGCAGUAAGUGAGUGAUCAGGACAACAUUCAACUACAAGGGACUGGCAGAUGGUUGUGGUGCUGAUGGCUGGUAUGAAGAGACACCUUGGACUGAAAGAGUGUCUCCAGCUCUAAGCAUUGUACUCUGACUCAAGCUGAGACACUUUGGGAAAACAAUUUUGUAUCUUGUAGAGUUGAAUAAUACAAGUUAGGAAGGGUGUUUUCCGUAGUUGUGUGGUUGUCUGUUACUUUGUUUUUCUAAGGGCUGGGAAGAAAGGUUGGCUAAGGAAGGGUUCUUAGCACCGCACACUCAAUGAAAAAAAAAAGGUUGAUAUUCAAGGGUGUGACACCUACCAUGUCUACAUGAAAAAUCUUAACACAGAAACAUAUAUUGGCAGUUCCCACUCGUUGGUUAUAAGCAUUUAUUUCUUACUAAAUUUGUUAUGAAUAAGUAAUGAUAACUAACUUACUCUGUUCUCUAAAGAAAGGUUAAUCAACACUUUAAUUAAUUGGGUUCCUCUGAUAACAUUUGUCAAGCAUGGUUAGAGGAAGUGGCAAGCAAAAGAUUGACGCUUUGAUUAACCUAGGAGCUUAUUAUCUUGUUGGAAUUCCAUCUGGUGCAUUAUUAGCUUUUGUGUAUCACAUUGGAGGAAAUGUGACUCUUAUUCUACCUUCAGUCUUUCUCCUACUUUUAAUAUUCCAAUCUAGUUUAUAUUCUCCAGAAAGAAGAAAAGUUAACCCUUUUGUAUAUCUACUUGGUCCACAGGGACUCGGACAAGAAUUAUAGUUUCACUGUUCAUGCAGGCAGUAUCCCUCGCAAUCAUAAUUUUUUGCACUAAUUGGGAGAGAGAAGUAUAAUUCUUUUUCACUGAUGAUUGUGUCUGUGUCUGUGUCUGAGAAUUCUCUUGUUGAAUUCACUAAUGCUUUAUUUUAUCUCUUUCUUUUGCAGGUAAAGAAGGCUACUAAUAGAGUUCAUCAUGACUCAAUAGUCCCUGUGAAUGUAGCAUCAUCAAGUUCACAUUGAAGUAAUAUUGCUUAUCCGAUAAAAAUCAUGCCCAAUCGUAUAUUCCGUUUCUAGUGGUCCUACUAUCCGAUGUUCUAGUCCUUGAAACACAGUCCGCAACAAAGCAUUUUGAAAAGAAAGGAAUAUAUGAUUUAUUAAUAGCCCAAGCAUCUGGCAACAAAGUGAUAAACCCCAACCUCUUACUAAAAGGUGACGGAUAGUACAAAUUAAAUUGAUUACAAGAACCCACUAGUUCUAGUUUACCUUCUUUCACUUCACUGGCAGAAUCUUGACUUAUUCCCGACAAACUGUGGUGCCUUUAGAAUUAAUUCCAUAUUCCAUCGUCCAAAAUGGAUUUCUCUUGUAAAGCUAAAGAAUCAAAUUUUGAUAGGAGAAUUUUCAUAGAAACAGAUUUUUUUGAAUAAUUUUUAAAAUGAAUAGUUUUUGUUUUUUGAAUAAUUAAAUAUUAAAACAGUAAAAGAAGAAUAAUGAACCUUUAAAAGGUAAAGUAAUUUCAUUAUAUUAAAAUAUGAUUUUAUAUAUAUAUGUAUGUAUUUUUUUUUCAAUUUCUAUUUAAUUUUUUUUUUCUAUUUUUCUUUUGCAAAAAAUUUAGUAAACAUCUCACCUUAUGAGAUUGAGACCCAUAUUUUAAAUUUUAAUUAAUGGAAAACUACUAGGAAGCUACUGGACAAACUUGUUCUAUGAAUUUUGGACUAUAUGAAGAUGUAUCUGUGAAAAAAAAAAAUUUAAAUAAAGACACUUCAAGGUGGAGAGUAGUUUUAUAACAAUAUUUUCAGCUUUGUGGGCUGAGAUUUGUGAUUUGUAUUCCGAGUGGCGAUAACAGAGACAAGCCCUAUCUCCAUGGAUGGGGAAGACCAGAAACCAAGUCUGGAAUCACCAUUGAUUUCUCAAGAAGCUGUGUCUCACUCCAGGAAUGGAGCAAAAAGAGAGGAGAUCUUGGGUGAAGUGAAGAAACAGUUGAAAAUAGCAGGGCCUUUGAUGUUAGUCAAUGUUCUACUAUAUAGCUUACAGGUGAUUUCAGUAAUGUUUGUGGGUCAUCUGGGAGAGCUAGCUCUCUCUGGUGCUUCCAUGGCCACUUCCUUUGCUUCAGUCACUGGCUUCAGCUUGAUUGUAAGUAACAUGGAUUUUUUUUUUUUUUGUGUCAUCAUCUCACACAUCCAUCCACAUUUGAUUUAGCUACUUUUGGGUUGUACCCUUUCGAAUAUCUGUUGCAUCGCAUAAUUAUUCGGCUGAAUUCUUCAUUGGAUUGCCGACAUAGAUCAGAAAAUAUUUAUCUAAACUUAGAGGUUACUAUAAUAUUGUUGGGAAUCCAUCAUAACUUUUUUUUCCACAGCUUCUGUCCAGUUUCCUUUAUGGACCGAAAUUUUGUCUCAUUUAUCCAUUCUUAUCUCAUACAAUGACAACAGUGUCCUUUAAAUCUUCUUGAUUCAAGGCUCUUGGUUCUUGAUCCACUCUUGACCCCUCUACAAUGGACAAAGCAGUAAUAUAUUCUGAGUAAUGUUGUAACAACUUUCUCUGUUGUUUAUUUAUAAGAAGGAAUCAUCUUAAUCUUAAUUAGUAACUAAAACCUAUGAGAUAAAAAUUAUUGGAAGCUACAAAAACAAGAAAAAGAAAAAAAAAUGUUGGAUAAGAAAAAAUAUAAAAAAAAAGAAUGUCAGAGGAAAUAAUUAUUAUAAUAUAGAUAUUCUAGAUUAAAAAAAAAAAAAAAAAAGUGGACAUACCUGUGGAUUUAGAUUAUUGCCUGUGGAUAUAGACAUUAUUAUUAUUAAAAUAUAACAAAUUGAUCAAUUAAAUAUAAAAAAUAAGAUUUAGAUAAGAAAAAAAUGAGAAUAUAAUUGUAAAGCUAUCAAGAGAUGCUCUCACAUGGUCAUAGUGAACUCUUUUCAUUAAUUGCUACUUUCUUAUUAGUUACUACUUUUCAAUAUGACAUGAAAGAAAAGUUAUCGGGUGGUUUAAAAAAGCCCAAUCAAGAAAUCUGUUUCUCCAACUUCAUUGGAUUGAUGAAUAACUAUUAAUAUCAAGAAUAAUGAAAGGGCAUGAUCUAAUACCACUAUAUUAUUGGUUGGAGUUCUAAUCCUAAUUGAUAGAACAAUCUUUACCUUUUUGGUAUGGAAUGAAGGUAAGUAUCUAUCUAGUAAAAAAAUUUAAGUCUCCAACAUCAUUAGAUUAGAGUUGGGGUAUGGUAACUGAUGAAUAACUACUAGUAUCAAGAAUAGUGUACUUGUGUUUUUGAGUAAAUUUGUCCAUUUCUUUUAUCAAGUUAUUACUUAUUUUACAAAGAUUCUGCUUAUUUCUUUCUAUAUAUGUAAGAACCUUUGAGAAAGAUUUCAAGUGUUAAUUAUUUAGUAUGCAUUAUUAGUCUUCCAACACUCCAAAGACAUUUUCAACCAAGCUUUUGAAAUGAGUUUUAUCCACCUUUUUUCUUUCAUCUUAUUUCUUCAACUUUUCAUUCACAAUUAAAGGAGCAUUUUAGAGGUUCACAACCAAUCAUGCCAAUUUUUUUUAGGAUAUUCAACAUACCUCUUUUGACAAAUAAACACUCCAUCUUCUUUUUAAUAGACUUGAAUUCCCAAUGCAAAAAAUAGUACAACAAUCACAUGUUGCUCAUUUCAUAUUUUUUUCAUCAUUUUUUUUUUACUUUUCAAUCAUUUUUCAGCAUUUUAAGUUAAAAUCAAACCAACAACAAUAAGUAAGAAUCUUAGAGCUUCCUUUGCUCUUGAAACAAAGUAGUUAGGUUCAUUCUUGCUUCUAUAGAAGUCAUUUUUGGUGAAGUAGCUAUCAAUUUAAUUGUACUAGACAUAAAGAACUUGUUUCAAAUUGUACAAGGCCUUCUUCAACUUGUAAACCUUCUUUCCUUUACCAACAACAACAAAGCCUUGAGGUUGUUCCGUAUCAAUUUUUCAUUCAACUUUCCAUUCAAAAAUGUAGAUCUUACAUCAAGUUGGUAAAGUAACCAACCUUUUUUAGCAGCCACAACAAUGAUAGCUUUAAUAGUGUCAAGACAAGCAACUAGAGCAAAAGUUUCAUGGAAUUGCAACCAACCUUGUUGCAAACAUUCAAACCCUACUAUCAAAAUGGUGUUUCACCCUAUAGAUCCACUUCACCAAAAUCAUCUCUUUUCCUUUUCCUUUUGUGACUAGCAGCCAUAAUGCAUUUUCCUCAAUGAUAUCAAUUAUUUGUUCUAUUGCUUCCUUCAAUCUUCAUCUUCUACUGCCUUUUCAAAGCUUUGAGGUUUAGUAAUGCAAAAAUUGCAUCUCUUAUAAAUGUCACUCAAACUCUAUAUUUUUCCUGGAGUUAAGGAUAGUGAUGAUGAGCAUGAAGUUGGAGACCUAAUGAAGGGAGGCAAUGAAACUGAUCUUAGGGAGUUUUGAGGUGAUAAAAUUGAGUUUCCACUAUUAUCAUUUUCAGUGGGGGCACUAGUUGAACUUUUUCAAAGAAAUUUGUUUUUUGUUUGUUUGUUUGUUUGUUUGUUUGUUUGUUUUUUUAACUUUGCCUUCUCCUAAUUCCAAGAAACUUUUUCAUAAAAAAAAUUAUAUAUCUACUUAUCAUCAAAUUGUUUGUUUUUAGGUUUUACAUCCUAUAGCUUUUUGAUUCUAAGUUUUAACCUAUGGAAAUAUAUUUUUCACUUACUUCAUCCAACUUACUCUUCUUUUCUUUGAGUACUUGUGAAUAACAUAUACAACCAAACACUCUUAAGUGUCUCCUAGAUGGUUUUCUUUCACAUUAUUAUUGGAGUUCAAUUUAACAAUGCUUCUAUUGAGCAUCUAUUUAAUAAGCAUGCAAUAAUGUUAACAACUUCAUCUUGGAGGAUUUUAGGUAACCCUUUCUCAUGUAGCAUUGCUUUAACCAUUUUCAUAAUAGUUUGACUUUUUUCUUUCAACUACUUCAUUUUGUUGAGGAAUAUAUGUAGCAAUUUGUUACCUCUCAACCCCUUCAUCUUGAUGAAACUUCUCAAAUUGGCAUAAAGUAAAUUCUUUUCCUUUGUCACUUCUCAAGGUUUUUACAUAACAACCCUUUUGUUUUUCAACAAAACUAUUGAAAAAUUUUUAAGACAAUGAACAUUUAAAAAUUUUUGCUUCAUUAAGAAUACCAAAGUCAAUGUUGUAAAAUCAUCAAUAAAUAGUAUAAAAUAUUUGUUGUUACCUUGAGAAGUUGGACACAUAAGAACACAAUCAUCAACGUGAAUUAGAUCCAAUGCCUUUGCUCUUCAUGCAACUUCCUUGGGAAAUAAUUACUAUGAUGCUAUCCAAGAACACAACCUUCACAUACUUUAUUCUUUCCUUCAAUGGUGUUGAGCAAUCCUUAUACCAUCUUCUUUUGGCAAAGAAAAUUUAAACUUAUAUUGAAGUUCAAAGUGCCCACAUCUUCUAUGAAAAACCAACCUUCUUUAACAUCUUCUACUCUAAAAGCUACAUUUUAAGCAUAUUUGAAGACAAUUAGAACAUUUCUAUUUUUUUUUUCCAUUUUUAUCUUUGUCACUACACUUCUUCUUUGCCCCUUAUCAUAGAUGGUGCACUCAUUGUCUUUAAAGUGAAGUUUGUAUCCAUGCUCUACUAGCUAAUCCACACAAAGCAAAUUUUGCUCCAAAGCUGAAAACAGGUAGAAGAUUUCAAAUGUACUUGGUUACCAUUUUAGUUUGAAUGCUAAUGGUGUCUUUUCCCUUGACAUGCACUAGAUCACCUUUUACCCAUUUUGACUUAUGAUUUAAUGGUUCUAUCCAUGUCAAGAAAAAUAUCUUUAUUAUCAAACAUGUGGUUUAUGUAACCACUAUCAAUGAACCACAUAUUAUUUCUCUUCUUAAUAUCUUUUUGACAAGUAUAAAACAUAUUUUCUUUAUCUUCUUUUUUCUUCAACACAAUUUGCUUGUUGAUUGUUGGAAGCCUGCAAUCUUUUCUUAACAUACCCAAAUUUUAUUUAUAAUAGAGAAUUGAAGCUUCCCUUUAAACAAACAAUCAUUUUCAACAUGACCUUUUUUUUUUUGUGGAAAAUAUUGCAUUUUUGGAAUGUGUUAGUGAAUUGUCGAAAUUAGUGAUUUUUUUUCGACCAUUGAAUAUUUGUCUAGCUACCUCUUCCAUUUCUUCCUCUACCACUUUCUCAUCCACUUCUACCUAUCCUAGGUUCCAAAUAUUACAUUUUAGGAAUGCAUUAGUGAAUUUUCUUCCACUGUUGAAUCUUUCUUUACCUCUUCCAUUUCUUUGUCUUCCUCUUUCUCGUCCAUUUCUACCAACCCUAGGUGAAUCACUUCUAUUUUCAUUGCUUGUGGGUUUGUUUUCAACAUUUCUCAAGUGAAUGCUCAACUUGCACUAGAUUGCACUUUCAAUUGAUUUUUCAAAAUACCUCACUAGUCCCUGCUCAUAAGUUUUCAAGGACCUAAAAAAUGGCUCAUGUAAGCUUAGCUAAAAGAGGUUUUGUUUUUUUUUUCUUCAACCAUAGUCAUAAUUGGGUCAAUUUUAUCAAGUAGGCUAAUUAAAAUUUUCUCAAUAAUUCUUCUAUCAUUAAUUUUUUUCACAAUAUGACUUCAUCUAAUUUACUAACACCAUGAACUUGGAAGAGGACUUAUUUAAAGUUUCAUUUUCCCUCAUGUUCAUAUUUUCUAGCUCUCUUCAUAAAGUUUGGAGCAUUACUGAAUACUUUUCCAUCUCUUUGGAACUCCUAUUGAUGGUGUCCCAUACUUCUUUAACUUUUGAAGAUCUCAUAAUUNNNNNNNNNNNNNNNNNNNNNNNNNNNNNNNNNNNNNNNNNNNNNNNNNNNNNNNNNNNNNNNNNNNNNNNNNNNNNNNNNNNNNNNNNNNNNNNNNNNNAAAAAGAGAGUUUUUGAAUCCAUUUUUCUCAACAAUUUUAACUAAUGCUUUUUUUUUUUUCCAUUUGGAGUUAGUGUUGUUGCAUUUUUAGGUUCACUCAAAGCGAUUUAAAAAAAAAUCACAAACAUCUUGAAACAUAAAUAAUGUUUUCAUUUUCACACGCCAAAAAUCAUAAUUUUCCCUUAUAAAUGAUGAAAUAAAAGAAAGUUGAGAACUUAUACUUUUGUUACUUGUGGCAACCACUGAUGUACUCUAAAAAUCCUUGAUCUUCUGCAUCAAGGGUGAAGGUUCCUUGUUAUUCUUCUCAAAUAACAACUAAGUUGUUGAGCUCAUUGAUCACAACUUUGAUUCUACAUGAUCUUCUUAGACCAUAACAACUCUGCCUUCUUUUGUUUCUCUUUCUCUAUAUACUUAGGUUCAAGCAUUGAAAGGCAAAGGCAACAGAGACAGUCCCACCUACUUCAUACUUUAUUUCCUCACAACAAUCCUUUUGUAUUGAUAGCUACUCUCCUUCACCAAACCUUAGCCUGAUUGCUACGGAUUCAAGUCUUCAAAGAAGAAGAGAAACCUUAGAAUUCCUCCUCUCUGCUAUAAUAUGUGUUUGUCAAGAUUCCAUGAACAAGGAGCAUGCCAGUACUAGAGACAAGAGACAAGAAGAAUACUUAAAAAGAGAGAGAGAGUGAAAAAGAAAGUACGAGUUUGGGAGAGAACCUGCAAAUACAAAGCUAUCCAACAAUAAAACAAUUUAGAGAGUUAGAGAAAGAGUUAGAAACAUAAAAUCGCUAGCUUUUAUUCAACUUUUGUUAGUUGUUAUUUCAACCAAAAACGUGGGAUAGAAAUUGAAGAUAAAAAGGAUAUUUAAAAUGGAAGACUCAGCUGAAACUUGGUCUCCUUUUGUAUUUAUUUAUUUCCUACUACUAUUUUAUUUGAAGAUUGCAAUCCACAUUUAUAACAAAUUUAAUCAAUUAAAUCUCUCUCCAUGGAUCGAUAAUAUUCACACCAAAUACAAACACAAAAAACUAAUUUUUAUGUGAGUGACAUUAUGUAACAUUUUCUUUGUGAUGUUUUUAGCAUUAAUUUCACUUUUGUUUAAUAGGUAGGAAUGGGAAGUGCAUUAGACACCUUCUGCGGUCAGUCAUUUGGAGCAAAACAAUAUCAUAUGCUUGGUGUACACAAGCAAAGAGCUAUGGUUGUGCUUCUAUUGGUUAGCAUUCCUGUUGCUUUUAUUUGGAACAAUACAGGCCAUAUUCUUGCAUCAUUGGGACAAGAUUCAGAAAUAUCAGCUGAAGCCGGACUUUAUGCUCACUUUAUGAUACCUAGCAUUUUCGCUUUUGCGCUUCUACAAUGUCAUAUUAGAUUCUUACAAGCUCAAAACAAUGUAGUUCCCAUGAUGAUAACCACAGGAUUUACAACUCUACUCCACACCCUCACUUGUUGGAUGUUGGUUUUCAAAUCAGGUCUGGGAAACAAAGGGGCUGCCCUUGCAAAUGCCAUCUCUUAUUGGAUUAAUGUCCUCUUGUUAGCAAUUUAUGUCAGGAUCUCCCCUUCCUGCAAGAAAACAUGGACGGGUUUUUCAAAGGAGGCAUUGCAUGAUGUGCUAAAGUUUCUCAAAUUAGCUAUUCCUUCAGCUAUAAUGCUAUGGUAAUAUCUUUGGGUGACCUUUCACUUCAAUAGCACAUUUGUUGUGUGUAUUAGAAAUAUUCGUAGAUAUCAUGUAGUUUUAUUUGUCUGGUGUCUUGGAACAGCUUGGAAAUAUGGUCAUUCGAAAUGAUGGUAUUGUUGUCUGGUCUGCUUCCCAAUCCAAAGCUAGAGACAUCAGUUCUAUCAAUCAGGUACCAUAUCCCAUGCUUAUGCACUUGAAAUAAGCAUAAACCUUUAAUAGCCUUUGAGAAUUCCUUAAAGAUUACUAAAACUAGUUACAUAUUACUAAUGGAUUAUGUGCAUUUCAUCACAGCCUUAACACAUAUACAGUACUUUAUAUGAUACCCCUUGGACUUAGUGGCGCAACAAGGUACUUUUCAGUAAUUAGUUUAAUGGUUGUAGCUCCUGAAAAUCAACAUGUCUCUUGAAUCAUUCUUCUUUCCAUUUUUCUUUUUAGUACAAGAGUUUCAAACGAAUUAGGGGCUGGACGACCACAAGCAGCACUUUUAGCCGUGUAUGUUGCAUUAUUCAUGGUCGCCAUAGAAGGCAUUUUGGUAGCCACAGCCCUGAUCUUAGGACGUAACUUCUGGGGCUAUUCUUACAGUAGUGAAGAAAAAGUAGUGAACUAUGUUGGAGAGAUGAUGUUCUUGCUUGCAGGAUCCCACUUUAUAGAUAGCAUUCAAUCAGUGCUUUCAGGUAUGUGCCAAUUUGCAAUACGUACUUAUAAUCUUUAAUUUGAUUCUUCAUGACAACUGAAAUUUCUAUAAUAAUUUGUUUAUACUAAACCUAUAUCCAUGAAAAGAUGAAAAUUAAUCAAAAAUAUAUAUAGCCCAGUGUUAGAUAGAGAAAUUAUCUUCCUAAAGUAUAGUCCUACGCUGUCUGCAUGAAAUAUGAUCUGAAUUCACAAACAUAUAUUGGUAGUUCCCACUUUUUGGCUCUAGGCAUUUAUUUCUUACUAAAGUUGUUAUCAGUAAGUAAUGAUAGCACACUUACCCUAUCAUCUAAAGAAAGGUUAAUCAACACUUUAAUCAAUUGAGCGACUCUAAUAAUAUUUUCCAGGCGUGGUUAGAGGAAGUGGCAAGCAAAAGAUUGGGGCUUUGGUUAACCUAGGAGCCUACUAUCUUGCUGGAAUUCCAUCUGGUGCAUUAUUAGCUUUCGUCUAUCAUAUUGGAGGAAAGGUAACUCUUACUCUAUUUUUAAUCUUUCUCCCCACUUCUCAUAUUUCGUUCUAGUUUAUAUGCUCCAAGAAAAAGAAAAAUUAACCCAUUUGUAUAUCUACUUGGUUCACAGGGACUCUGGACAGGAAUUAUAGUUUCACUCUUCAUGCAGGCAUUAUUUCUUGCAAUCAUAAUUCUUUGCACUAAUUGGGAGAAAGAAGUAUGGUUAUUUCAUCGAUAUUUGUGUAUGUAUGAGAAUUUUCUUGUUGAAUUCACUAAUGCUCUAUUUCAUCUCUUUCUUUUGUAGGCAAAGAAGGCUACUGAUAGAGUGUAUGACUCAAUGGUCCCUGUGAAUGCAAUAUCAUCGAGUUGACAUUGAAGUAAUAUUUCUUUCUAACUAGAUCUAUAAAAAUUAUGCUCAAUCUUGUUUGAUAAUUUAUAAUAAUAAAGGUAAUUUAUGACUAUAAAAUAAUUUGCUUUGAACAUGUAAGCCCUACCAGUUUGGAAUAGCUCAUGGUUGUUCUGUCUAGUGUUCUGGGAUUGUUCAUUUCCACUAAUGUAAUCUUAUAGGGUUAAUUUUGAUCAAGCAAUACAUUAAUACUUAAAACCAAGGGUGUAUUGUAGUCCUCAUACUACAAUAGGAAUAUUGAAAUGACCUCAUUUUUGCAUCUGUUGGCUACAUUGUCUUGUACCAUACACCCAAUUUCCAUUAAUCCUAUCUAAACCUACUUGUUCUUGGAACUAAGUGACUUAAACAUACAAUCCGCUGGAGACAGCUAGAGUCCCAAGCCAUAGCAGAUCUCCCAGCUGAUUUCACUGUAGUAAUAGAAGGAACAUCCAGAGAUCGCAUACCUAUGGUGUUGAGGUGAAGGAUGGAGAGGCAAAGGCCAACGGACACUAUUGAUAGAUGGGUCCUCUAUCAGGGUUGGGGGUGAGUAGAUCAUAGGUUACUUAUUUCUGAAAAUGCUUUAUUGAAUAUGUUCUUGAAGGCUUGUAAUAAACUAAAGACAAAUAAAUAUCAACACUGUCAGUAUAGUGCAUUGCUUCCAUUAAAGCUAAAAAUUAUGUUUUAAUUUGGCUUUUCAAAUUAUUUUGUAACAACUUGAAACACAGUUGGUAACAAGGCAUUUUGAAAAGAAGAGAAUAUAUUAUGAUUUAGUAAUAGUCCAAGAAUCUAGUGACAAAGUGAUAAACCCCAACUAAUAUUAAAAGGUGAAGGAUCGUAUAUAUUACAUUUCUUACAAGGACCCACUAGUUCUAUCUUCUUUCACUUCACUGGCAGAAUCUCUACUUAUUCCCCAACAAAGUGUGGUGGCCUUAGGAUUAAUUUAUUUUUCGAUUAAUUUAUUUUUCCAUCAUCCAAAAUGGGGUUCUCUUGUAAAGCUAAAGAAUCAAAUUUUGUUUGGAGAAUAAUGUCCCUUUUUUCCUAUGGGUAUUUUAACCAAACAAAACUAUGAUAUAAUGGAAAAAUAAAUAAAUAAAUAUUAAUUUUUUCCUCUUUUUUCUUUAUAAUCAUAAAUUUAAAAUAAAAUGAGUAUUGAGAUUAUCAUAAAAUUACCUCAUUAAUUUUGUUUUCCGACACUAUUACAAAUAUAUUAAUAAAGUAUUAAAUUCUGAUUCUAUAUUUUUUUUUUCAAUUUCUUUUCUCAAAAACUUUAGUAAAUAUCUCACCUUACAAUGAUUGAGAACCUUAUUUUAAAUUUUAAUUAGUGGAAAAAUAGUUGGAACCCACUGGACGCGCUUGGUCUAUAAAUAUUGGACUAUAUGUAGAUGUGUCUAUGAAAAAAAAAAAAUUAGAAAGGGAGAAUUAUCUUUUGGGGGUAGAUGGGCCUCCAAAUUAAUAAAAGAUCCAUAUAACUCUUCAAAUUGAAUUGAAGGAUAUGAAAUAGUAACGGACAAAUAUACCCUUUAAGAACACAUAUAAAAUAUUUUAUAAAAUUAAGUUAAAUAAUUUUUCUUCAAUAAUUUUUUUUUUCAAAAAUACGAAAUUAAAUAAAAGUAGUUUUCAAAAAUAUUAAAUUAAAUAAUUUUUUUUUCAAAAAUAUUAAAUUAAUUUUUUUUUCAAAAAUAUUAAAUUAAAUUAAAGUAUUUAAAAAAUAUUAAAUUAAAUAUUUUUUAAUAUUAAAUUAAAUAAAUUUAUUUUUAAAAAAUAUUAAAUUAAAUAAAAGUAUUUUAAAAAAUAUUAAAUUACAUAAAAGUAUUUUUUAAAAAUAUUAAAUUAAAUCAAAAAUAUUAAAUGAAAUAAAAGUAUUUUUCAAAAAUAUUAAUUUUUUUUCUCAAAAUCAACAAGGGCAUUUUUGGAAAUACUGAAGAAUGAUAUCCUUCAACUCAAUUUCCAUACUUUCAUUGGGUCUUGGACUCAAUUUAAAGAGUUACAUGGACCUUUUGUUAAUUUAGGGGUCCAUCUACCUCCAAAACAUAAUUCUCCCAAUUAGAAAAUAAAGAUACUUCAAGUUCAAGGUGAAGGGUACUUUUAUAAUAACAUCUUCAGCUUUGUCGGCUGAGAUUUGUGAUUUGUAUCCCGAGCGGCGUGAACAGUAACCAGCCCUAUCUCCAUGGAUGGAGAAGACAAGAAACCAAGUCUGGAAUCACCAUUGAUUUCUCAAGAAGCUGUGUUUCACUCCAGGAAUGGAGCAAAAAGAGAGGAGAUCUUGGGUGAAGUGAAGAAACAGUUGAAAAUAGCAGGGCCUUUGAUGUUAGUCAAUGUUCUACUAUAUAGCUUACAGGUGAUUUCAGUAAUGUUUGUGGGUCAUCUGGGAGAGCUAGCUCUCUCUGGUGCUUGCAUGGCCACUUCCUUUGCUUCAGUCACUGGCUUCAGCUUGAUGGUAAGUAACAUGGGUUCUUCCUUUUUUAUUCAUUUUCUCACACAUUACCCACAUUUGAUUUAGCUCCUUUUGGGUUGUACCCUUUCAAAUAUAUGUUCUAUCUGUUAUUUGUUAUACUGAGUUCUUCAUUGGAUUGAUGACAUAGAUCAGAAAAUAUUUAUCUAAACUUAGAGGUUACUAUAAUAUUGUUGGGAAUCCAUCCUACCUUUGUUUCCACAGCUUAUCUCAUAGAAUGACAACAGUGUCCCUUCAACCUUCUUGAUUCAAGGCUCUUGGCUCUUGACCCACUCUAGGCCCACUCUACAUUGGACAAAGCAGUGGUAGUAUUUAGGAAUGGCAAUGGGCGAAUUUUUUCGGGUACCUGUCCUACCCCGCCCCGUUCCUAAUGGGACGGGUAUGAGAUUUUUUUUUUAAACCCAGGGCGGGUUUGAGUAUUGCCCCGAUUAUAUAUAAAAUUAAAUUUAAUUUAAAUUUUAAAAUUAAUUUAAUUUAAAAUUUAAUUUUACUAUUUUUAAUAUAUAGAUAAUAAUUUAAAAAAUUUAAUAAAAUAAGUUAUUAAAAAUAUAAUAAUUUUAUUAUUUAUAAAAUAUAUUUAUUUUAAUGUAAUUAAAAAUUUUAAAAGUAAUUUAAAAAAAAAAAAAUGCUAAACGGGAUGGGGAUGGGAAUUGUUUUUAAUAAACGGGGCGGGGUUGGGAUGGGGGCGACCCGUCCCGAACCCACUCUGUUGCCAUUCCUACCAUUGCCUCUCCAUCCUUCACCUCAACACCAUAGGUAUGCGAUCCCUGGAUGUUCUUUCUAUUACUUCAGUGAAAUCAGCUGGGAGAUCUGCUAUGGCUUGGGACUCUAGCUGUCUCCAGCGGAUUGUGUACAUGUUUAAGUCACUUAGUUCCAAGCUUUGAACAAGUAGGUUUAGAUAGGAUUAAUGGAAAUUGGGUGUAUGGUACAAGACAAUGUAGUCAUACAGAUAGUAAUGAGAACCAACAGAUGCAAAAAUGAGGUCAUUUCAAUAUUCCUAUUGUAGUAUGAAGACUACAAUACACCCUUGGUUUUAAGUAUUAAUGUAUUGCUUGAUCAAAAUUAACCUUAUAAGAUUACAUUAGUGGAAAUGAACAAUCCCAGAACACUAGACAGAACAACCAUGAGCUAUUCCAAACUGGUAGGGCUUACAUGUUCAAAGCAAAUUAUUUUAUAGCUAUAAAUUACCUUUAUUAUUAUAAAUUAUCAAACCAGAUUGAGCAUAAUUUUUAUAGAUCUAGUUAGAAAGAAAUAUUACUUCAAUGUCAACUCGAUGAUAUUGCAUUCACAGGGACCAUUGAGUCAUACACUCUAUCAGUAGCCUUCUUUGCCUACAAAAGAAAGAGAUGAAAUAGAGCAUUAGUGAAUUCAACAAGAAAAUUCUCAUACAUACACAAACAUCGAUGAAAUAACCAUACUUCUUUCUCCCAAUCGGUGCAAAGAAUUAUGAUUGCAAGAAAUAAUGCCUGCAGGAAGAGUGAAACUAUAAUUCCUGUCCAGAAUCCCUGUGAACCAAGUAGAUAUACAAAUGGGUUAAUUUUUCUUUUUCUUGGAGCAUAUAAACUAGAACGAAAUAUGAGAAGUGGGGAGAAAGAUUAAAAAUAGAGUAAGAGUUACCUUUCCUCCAAUAUGAUAGACGAAAGCUAAUAAUGCACCAGAUGGAAUUCCAGCUAGAUAAUAAGCUCCUAGGUUAACCAAAGCCCCAAUUUUUUGCUUGCCACUUCCUCUGACCAUGCCUGGCAAAUAUUAUUAGAGUCGUUCAAUUGAUUAAAGUGUUGAUUAACCUUCCUUUAGAUGAUAGGGUAAGUGUGCUGUCACUACUUAUUGAUAACAACUUUAGUAAGAAAUAAAUGCCUAGAGCCAAAAAGUGGGAACUACCAAUAUAUGUUUGUGAAUUCAGAUCAUAUUUCAUGCAGACAGCGUAGGACUAUACUUUAGGAAGAUAAUUUCUCUAUCUAACACUGGGCUAUAUAUAUUUUUGAUUAAUUUUCAUCUUUUCAUGGAUAUAGGUUUAGUAUAAACAAAUUAGUAUAGAAAUUUCAGUUGUCAUGAAUAAUCAAAUUAAAGAUUAUAAGUACAUAUUGCAAAUUGGCACAUACCUGAAAGCACUGAUUGAAUGCCAUCUAUAAAGUGGGAUCCUGCAAGCAAGAACAUCAUUUCUCCAACAUAGUUCACUACUUUUUCUUCACUACUGUAAGAAUAGCCCCAGAAGUUACGUCCUAAGAUCAGGGCUGUGGCUACCAAAAUGCCUUCUAUGGCGACCAUGAAUAAUGCAACAUACACGGCUAAAAGUGCUGCUUGUGUUCGUCCAGCCCCUAAUUCGUUUGAAACUCUUAUACUAAAAAGAAAAAUGGAAAGAAGAAUGAUUCAAGAUACAUGUUGAUUUUCAGGAGCUACAACCAUUAAACUAAUGACUGAAAAGUACCUUGUUGCGCCACUAAUUCCAAGGAAUAUCAUAUAAAGUAUUGCAUAUAUGUUAAGGCUGUGAUGAAAUACACAUAAUCCGUUAGUAAUAUGUAACUAGUUUUAGUAAUCUUUAAGGACUCAAAGGUUAUUAAAGGUUUAUGCUUAUUUCAAGUGCAUAAGCAUGGGAUAUGGUACCUGAUUGAUAGAACUGAUGUCUCAAGCUUUGGAUUAGGAAGCAGACCAGAUAACAAUACCAUCAUUUCGACUGACCAGACUUGCAAGCUGUUCCAAGACACCAGACAAAUAAAACUACAUGAUAUCUACGAAUAUUUCUAAUACACACAAAAAAUGUGCUAUUGAAGUAAAAGGUCACCCAAAGAUAUUACCAUUGCAUUAUAGCUGAAGGAAUAGCUAAUUUGAGAAACUUUAGCACAUCAUGCAAUGCCUCCUUUGAAAAACCCGUCCAUGUUUUCUUGCAGGAAGGGGAGAUCCUGACAUAAAUCGCUAACAAGAGGACAUUAAUCCAAUAAGAGAUGGCAUUUGCAAGGGCAGCCCCUUUGUUUCCCAACCCUGAUUUGAAAACCAACAUCCAACAAGUGAGGGUGUGGAGUAGAGUUGUGAAUCCUGUGGUUAUCAUCAUGGGAACUACAUUGUUUUGAGCUUGUAAGAAUCUAAUAUGACAUUGUAGAAGCGCAAAAGCGAAAAUGCUAGGUAUCAUAAAGUGAGCAUAAAGUCCGGCUUCAGCUGAUAUUUCUGGAUCUUGUCCCAAUGAUGCAAGAAUAUGGCCUGUAUUGUUCCAAAUAAAAGCAACAGGAAUGCUAACCAAUAGAAGCACAACCAUGGCUCUUUGCUUGUGUACACCAAGCAUAUGAUAUUGUUUUGCUCCAAAUGACUGACCACAGAAGGUGUCUAAUGCACUUCCCAUUCCUACCUAUUAAACAAAAGUGAAAUUAACGCUAAAAACAUCAUAAAGAAAAUGUUACAUAAUGUGUCACUCAUAUAAAAAUUAGUUUUUUGUGUUUUUAUUUUGUGUGAAUAUUAUUCAUCCAUGUAGAGAGAUUUAAUUGAUUAAAUUUGUUAAAAAUGUGGAUUGCAAUCUUCAAGUAAAUUAGUAGUAGGAAAUAAAUAAAUACAAAAGGAGACCAAGUUUCAGCUGAGUCUUCCAUUUUAAAUAUCCUUGUUAUCUUCAAUUUCUAUCCCACGUUUUUGGUUGAAAUAACAACCAACAAAAGUUAAAUAAAAGCUAGUCAUUUUAUGUUUCUAACUCUUUCUCUAACUCUCUAAAUUGUUUUAUUGUUGGAUAGCUUUGUAUUUGCAGUUUCUCUCCCAAACUCAUACUUUCUUUUUCACUCUCUCUCUCUCUCUUUUAAGUAUUCUUCUUAUCUCUUGUCUCUAGUACUGGCAUGCUCCUUGUUCAUGGAAUCUUGACAAACACAUAUUAUAGCAAAGAGGAGGAAUUCUAAGGUUUCUCUUCUUCUUUAAAGACUCGAAUCCGUAGCAAUGAGUCUAGGGUUUGGUGGAGGAGAGAAGAUAUAAGUACAAAAGGAUUUUUGUAAGGAUAUAAAUUAUGAAGUAGGUGGGGCUGUCUCUGUUGCCUUUUCCUUUCAAUGCUUCAACCUAAGUAUAUAGAGAAAGAGAAACAAAAGAAGGCAGAGUUGUUAUGGUUUAAGAAGAUCAUGUAGAAUUAAAGUUGUGAUCAAUGAGCUCAACAACCUAGUUGUUAUUUGAGAAGAAUAACAAGGAACCUUCACCCUUGAAGCAGAAGAUCAAGGAUUUUUAGCGUAAAUCAGUGGUUGCCGCAAGUAACAAAAGUAUAAGUUCUCAACUUUCUUUUAUUCCAUCAUUUAUAGGGGAAAAUUAUGAUUUUUGGUGUGUGCAAAUGAAAACAUUAUUUAUGUUUUAAGAUGUUUGUGAUUUUUUUUAUAAAAAAAAUAGCUUUGAGUCAACCUAAAAAUGCAACAACACUAACUCCAAAUGAAAAUAAAUAAAUGCAUUAGUUAAAAUUGUUGAGAAAAAUGGAUUCAAAAACACUCAAGGAAGUAUUGACAAAACUACUUCUCAAGAAUUAUGAGAGCUUCAAAAGUCAAAGAAGUAUGGGACACCCAUCAAUAGGAGUUCCAAAGAGAUGGAAGAGUAAUCAGUAAUGCUCCAAACUCUAUGAAAAGAGCUAGAAAAUAUGAACAUGAGGGAAAAUGAAACUUUAAAUAAGUCCUCUUUCAAAUUCAUGGUGUUAGUAAAUUAGAUGAAGUCAUAUUGUGAAAAAAAAAUUAAUGAUAGAAGAAUUAUUGAGAAAAUUUUAAUUAGCCUACUUGAUAAAAUUGACCCAAUUAUGACUAUGGUUGAAGAAAUAAAAAAAAAAAAAAAAAACCUCGUUUAGCUAAGCUUACAUGAGCCAUUUUUUAGGUCCUUGAAAACUUAUGAGUAGGGACUAUUGAGGCCUUUUGAAAAAUCGAUUGAAAGUGCGAUCUAGUGCAAGUUGAGCAUUAACUCAAGAAAUGUUGAAAACAAACCCACAAGUAAUGAAAAUAAAAGUGAUUCACCUAGGGUUGGUAGAAAUGGAUGAGAAAGAGAGGAAGAGAAAGAAAUGGAAGAGGUAAAGAAAGAUUCGAUAGUGGAAGUUCCUAAAAUGUAAUAUUUGCAAUCUAGGAUAGGUAGAAAUGGAAGAGGAAGUGGUAGAGGAAGAAAUGGAAGAGGUAGACAAAUAUUCAACGGUCAAAGAAAAUUCACUAAUUUCGACAAUUCACUAACACAUUCCAAAAAUGUAAUAUUUGCAAAAAUAAAAAAAUAGUCAUGUUGAAAAUGAUUGUUUGUUUAAAGGGAAGCCCCAAUUCUCUAUUAUAAAUAAAAUUUGGGUAUGUUAAGAAAAGAUUGUUGACUUCCAACAAUCAACAAGCAAAUUGUGUUGAAGAAAAAAAAGAUAAAGAAAAUAUGUUUUAUACUUGUCAAAAAGAUAUUAAGAAGAGAAAUAAUAUGUGGUUCAUUGAUAGUGGUUACAUAAACCACAUGUUUGAUAAUAAAGAUAUUUUUCUUGACAUAGAUAGAACCAUUAAAUCACAAGUCAAAAUGGGUAAAAGGCGAUUUGGUGCAUGUCAAGGGAAAAGACACAUUUAGUAUUCAAACUAAAAUAGUAACCAAGUACAUUUGAAAUCUUCUACUUGUUUCAGCUUUGGAGCAAAAUUUGUUUUGUGUGGACUAGCUAGUAGAGCAUGGAUACAAACUUCACUUUGAAGACAAUGAGUGUACCAUCUAUGAUAAGGGGCAAAGAAGAAGUGUAGUGACAAAGAUAAAAAUGGAUAAAAAAAAUAGCAAUGUUCUAAUUGUCUUCAAAUAUGCUUAAAAUGUAGCUUUCAGAGUAGAAGAUGUUAAGGAAGGUUGGUUUUGCAUAUAAGAUUUGGGUACUUUGAACUUCAAUAUAAGUUUAAAGUUUCUUUGCAAAAAGAAGAUGGUAUAAGGAUUGCUCAACACCAUUGAAGGAAAGAAUAAAGUAUGUGAAGGUUGUGUUCUUGGAUAGCAUCAUAGUAAUUAUUUCCCAAGGAAGUUGCAUGAAGAGCAAAGGAAUUGGAUCUAAUUCACGUUGAUGAUUGUGUUCUUAUGUGUACAACUUCUCAAGGUAACAACAAAUAUUUUAUACUAUUUAUUGAUGAUUUUACAACAUUGACUUUGGUGUUCUUAAUGAAGAAAAAGUAUUUAAAUGUUCAUUUUCUUAACAAAAUUCAAUAGUUUUGUUGAAAAACAAAAGGGUUGUUAUGUAAAAACCUUGAGAAGUGACAAAGGAAAAGAAUGUACUUUAUGCCAAUUUGAGAAGUUUCAUCAAGAUGAAGGGGUUGAGAUGUAACAGAUUGCUGCAUAUAUUCCUCAACAAAAUAAAGUAGUUGAAAAGAAAAAAGUCAACUAUUAUGAAAAUGGCUAAAGCAAUGCUACAUGAGAAAGGGUUACCUAAAAUCCUCCAAGAUGAAGUUAUUAACAUUAUUGCAUGCUUAUUAAAUAGAUGCUCAAUAGAAGCAUUGUUAAAUUGAACUCCAAUAACAGGGUGGAAGAAAACCAUCUAGGAGACACUUAAGAGUGUUUGGUUGUAUAUGUUAUUCACAAGUACCAAAAGAAAAGAGGAGUAAAUUGGAUGAAGUAAGUGAAAAAUGUAUUUGCAUAUGUUAUAGGAUGUAAAACCUAAAAACAAACAAUUUGAUAAGUAGAGAUAUCAUUUUUUAUGAAAAAGUUGUUUGGAAUUAGGAGAAGGCAAAGUUUAAAAAAGAAAAAAAAAAACAAACAAACGAAUAAAAAAACAAAACAAAUUUCUUUGACAAAGUCCAACCAAACAAAUUUCUUUGACAAAGUCCAACCAAUGCCCCAUCGAAAAUGAUAAUAGUGGAAGCUCAAUUUUAUCACCUCAAAACUCCCUAAGAUCAGUUCCACUGCCCCCUUCACUGGGUCUCCAACUUCAUGCUCUUCAUCACUAUCCUCAACUCCAAGAAAAAUAAGGAGUUUGAGUGACAUUUAUAAGGGAUGCAAUUUUUGCAUUACUAAACCUCAAAGCUUUGAAAAAGGCAAUAGAAGAUGAAGAUUGAAGGAAGCAAUGGAACAAACAAUUGAUAUCAUUGAGGAAAAUGCAUUCUGGCAGCUGGUCAUGAAAGGAAAAGGAAAAGGAAAAGAGAUGAUUGUGGUGAAGUGGAUCUAUAGGGUGAAAAACCAUUUUGAUAGUAGGGUUUGAAUAUUUGCAGCAAGGUUGGUUGCAAUUCCAUGAAACUUUUGCUCAAGUUGUUUGCCUUGACACUACUAAAGCUAUCAUUGUUGUGGCUCCUAAAAAAGGUUGGUUACUUUACCAACUUAACAUAAAAUCUACAUUUUUGAAUGGAAAGUUGAAUGAAAAAAUUUAUACUGAGCAACCUCAAGACUUUGUUGUUAUUGGUAAAGGAAAGAAGGUUUACAAGUUGAAGAAGGCCUUGUACAAUUUGAAACAAGUUCUUCAUGUCUAGUACAAUUAAAUUGAUAGCUACUUCACCAAAAACGACUUCUAUAGAAGCAAGAGUGAACCUAGCUACUCUAUGUUUCAAGAGCAAAGGUAGCUCUAAGAUUCAUACUUAUUGUUGUUCUUUCUGUUGUUGGUUUGAUUUUUAGUUAAAAUGCUGAAAAAUGAUUGAAAAGUUCAAAAAAGAAAUGAUGAAAAAAAAAAUGAAAUGAGCGACAUGUGAUUGUUGUACUAUUUUUUGCAUUGGGAAUUCAAGUCUAUUAAAAAGAAGAUUGAGUGUUUAUUUGUCAAAAAAUGUAUGUUGAAUAUCCUAAAAACAUUUGGCAUGAUUGGUUGUGAACCUCUAAAAUGCUCCUUUAGUUGUGAAUGAAAAGCUGAAGAAAUAAGAUGAAAGACAAAAUGUGGAUAAAACUCAUUUCAAAAGCUUGGUUGGAAAUGUCUUUGGAGUGUUAAAUAAUUAACACUUGAAAUCUUUCUCAAAGUUUCUAUACAGAUAUAGAAAGAAAUAAGCAGAAUCUUUGUAAAAUAAGUAAUAACUCAAAAGCACAAAUACACUAUUCUUGAUACUAGUAGUUAUUCAUCAAUUACCAUACCCCAACUCUAAUCCAAUGAUGUUGGAUGCUUAAAGUUUUUUAGUAGAUAGACCCUUACCUUCAUUCCAUACCAAAAAGGUAAAGAUUGUUCUAUCAAUUAGGAUUAGAACUCCAACCUAUAAUACGGUGGUCUUAGAUCAUGCCCUUUCAUUAUUCUUGAUAUUAACAGUUAUUCAUCAAUCCAAUGAAGUUAGAGAAACACAUUUCUUGAUUGGGCUUUUUUAAAACACCCGAUAACUUUUCUUUUAUGUCAUAUUGAAAAGUAGUAACCAAUAAGAAAGUAGCAAUUAAUGAAAAGAGUUCACUAUGACCAUGUGAGAGCAUCUCUUGAUAGCUUUACAAUUAUAUUCUCAUUUUUUCUUAUCUAAAUCUUAUUUUUUAUAUUUAAUUGAUCAAUUUGUUAUAUUUGAAUAAUAAUAAUAAUAAUAAUGUCUAUAUCCACAGGCAAUAAUCUAUAUCCACAUGUAUGUCCACUUUUUUUUUUUUUUUUAAUCUAGAAUAUCUAUAUUAUAAUAAUUAUUUCCUCUGACAUUCUUUUUUUAUAUAUUUUUUCUUAUCCAACAUUUUUUUUUCUUUUUCUUGUUUUUGUAGCUUCCAAUAAUUGUUAUCUCAUAGGUUUUAGUUACUAAUUAAGAUUAAGAUGAUUCCUUCUUAUAAAUAAAUAACAGAGAAAGUUGUUACAACAUUACACAGAAUAUAUUACUGCUUUGUCCAUUGUAGAGGGGUCAAGAGUGGAUCAAGAACCAAGAGCCUUGAAUCAAGAAGAUUUAAGGGACACUGUUGUCAUUGUAUGAGAUAAGAAUGGAUAAAUGAGACAAAAUUUCGGUCCAUAAAGGAAACUGGACAGAAGCUGUGGGAAAAAAAGUUAGGAUGGAUUCCCAACAAUAUUAUAGUAACCUCUAAGUUUAGAUAAAUAUUUUCUGAUCUAUGUCGGCAAUCCAAUGAAGAACUCAGCCGAAUAAUUAUGCGAUGCAACAUAUAUUCGAAAGGGUACAACCCAAAAGUAGCUAAAUCAAAUGUGGAUGGAUGUGUGAGAUAAUGACAAAAAAUAAAAAAUAAAAAAAAUCCAUGUUACUUAC